rnacentral:lncRNA from 1 species
CUUCGGGAGAAGCAUGGUGAAAAGGUGUGGUGGCCUACCUCUGGCAAUAAAGGCAUUGGCUGGGUUAUUAUACUCGAAAAAGUCUGAGCAAGAAUGGUUGGAGAUCCAAUGCAGUGAAACAUGGGAAUCAAAAAGUGUAUUGCCUUCCUUGAAGUUAUCGUAUGAUAAUUUACCUUCUUUGUCAUUGAAACGAUGUUUUGCAUAUUGCUCUAUUAUGCCAAAGAAUUCAUUCAUCUAUAAGGAUGAACUGAUACAGAUAUGGUUGGCAUUAGGGUUCCUCCUGCCCCCAAGAAGAAGUAUUGCACUGACGGAAGAUAUUGGCAGCAAAUACUUCAAAAUUCUGUUGGGAAAUUCUUUGUUACAAGACGAAGAAAAGGAUGAAUGUGGGAACAUCAUCAGAUGCAAGAUGCAUGAUCUAGUGCAUGAUCUUGCACUAGAAGUAUCUAAACAUCACUCGGUAUCUGUGAAGGCAGGUGAAGAGCUGAGUCAUGAUUGCAAGGCUGUAUACAUGAGGCUUGAUAACAGGGUUUCAAAUAUCAAACCAACAAUUCUGAAGAGAGCCUUUGAGAGAGUACAAGUAUUAUAUGCAGGGGCAGAUAUCCUUCUUCAUGUGUUACCUUAUCUCACACACCUGACUGUUCUGGUGUUAAAUGCGGAUGAUAAUCAGGUUGCCCAGGAGUUGCCAUUUUCGCUGCGCAAGAUGAAAUAUCUUAAACAUCUCGAUAUUUCACGCUGCCACUCUAGAUUGCCUACUGACAUCACAGAACUGUACAACUUGCAGACACUGAGAGUUUGGAACUUAGAUGAGUUUCCAAAAAGGUUUAGCAACUUGAUUAAUCUGAGACAUUUGUACAUUACUUACAUACUUUGUAAAAAGUGCAAGUUUAAUGGGAUAGAAAGGUUGACGAGUCUGCAAACCCUUCCUUUCUUUGUUGUGAGUAAAGAUCAAAACUGUCUUCUUGGACAACUGGGAGGGUUGAAAAAUCUUAGAGGUGAGGUUACACUCUAUGGCCUUUACGAGGUGGCAAAUAUUGAAGAAGCAAGAAAAGCAAAGCUUUGUGAGAAGUCCAGAAUUCAGUCUUUACAUUUGAACUGGAGAUAUACUGAAGUUGGUAAGGAAGGCAAAAUGAAAGACAGAGAAUACAACGACCAGGAUGUGAUGGAAGGAUUGGAACCUCAUCCAAAUCUGAAAACAUUAACGAUUGUCGGUUUUGAAGGAAAGAAGUUUGCAUCUUGGAUUACAAUGAUGCUGAACUUGGUGAAAAUCACAUUGAUAUACUGCAACCGAUGUGAAGUACUUCCACCACUUGGUCAACUUCCCAAAUUGAGGGAGAUAAGGAUUGAUGGGAUGGGAAAUGUUAGGGUUGUGGGAGAUGCUUUUUGGGGUGGCCAAAGUGUAUUUCCUCAACUUGAGAGGUUGAAAAUUGCUAAUUGUCGAAGGUUGAGAAAGAUACUGCCUUGUUGUUUUCCGUCAUUGAAACAACUCCACUUUCAUUAUUUGCCAAAUCUAGAAGAAUGGGAAGCAGCAGUUAUAAGCAGUUGUUCUCAAAGUGAAUUUCCUAAACUUGAGAGGUUGGAAAUUCUGGGUUGUCCAAGGUUGAGAAAUAUCCAGAAAAGUUAUUUUCCGUCCUUGAAGAAGUUGAAAAUUUAUGAUUCGUUCAGUGAAAUGUUGGGAACUAUGAGCAGAGAUGUUAGCUCACUAACCUCUCUACCGCUUACGAGUAUGGGUGACGGAGGAGGAGACUCAUCUUCGUUUUCGAUCAUAGAAUCCCUGAUUAACGAUUCUUUGUCUUUGACCGAAUUAGAUCUAAUUCAUUGCCAGGGCUUAAAAUGUUUGACCCUUGGUAGCUCCCUUGAAUACUUAAAGAUCGAUGAUUGCCCGCAUCUAAGUAGUAUAAAUUUGGUUGAAGGGUCAGCUGGUCUCACAUCUAUUGGGAUUCGGAAACUACCCCCCUCUCUUCUAGAUGGGAUAUUUGCCCAAAUUCAGAGUUCCAGGCUUAAAUAUCUGAGAUUGGGUCCCUUGUCAGAAUUGGAUUAUAUUCGGUGGCCAUUCUCUUCUUCUUCUUCUUCUUCUAACCUAAUUCAGCUAAGACUGUAUGGGUGGGAAGAGGAUAAGUCAUUAGCGCUCUUUGAGCAACUCCCGUUCAACGCCUAUCCUGCGUUGACUGACUUGACUUUACAAUAUUUCAAAGGAGUGAAAGCUCUUCCGGAUUCAAUAGCGAAGCUUCCAUCUCUCCGGAGAUUAAGAAUUGAGGAUUGUUAUAAUUUGGAGAGUUUGCCUGCAUUUGAAGAAUCACAUACCCUUCAAUUACUGUAUAUAGUUGGGUGUCCUGUUCUGAGACAAAGAUGCCGUAAGGGUCAAGGGCCAGAAUGGUUCAAAAUUCAAUACGUUCCAACAAUAAUUUGGUAAGCUUUGCAUGUAAAAAUUUAUCUAUUCUCCCUCGAAAUUAAUCUCUGUUUGUACUAUUUAAUUGAUAUAUCUGAUUUUGUUAAAUCAGGAAUCGUCCGGGGUGCCAGACUAGCAGUAGCUUGGUGAAUGGUGAUCGACUCUACUCCAUCUUCCCUGCCUUGACUGAUUUGUAUGUAGUAAACUUGAAGAAGAGAAAGCUCUCCCGAGUUCAAUAGCAAACCUUAUAUUGCUCACGCAGCUAGUUAUCUGGAAUUCGGAGAAUUUGGAGAGUUUGUCCAUGUUUGAGAACCAUGGGAAUUUGCCAAUUCUGAAAGAAUGAUACACGGAAGAGAGAAUGAUAAUCUAUAGUGCAUCUUAGUGACUUGCUGUACAUCUUACUUUUCAGGGAAAUACUCUAUUGUUGCCUCGAAGUAUUUAUGCUCUCUCAUAGUUCUUUAUUAUAUUUUUGUGUCUUCUGGGAUCAAUGAUCAAAUAAUAGUCAGGUUUAAUGAUCUAAUAUGCUUACAUCUCAUGGCAUAAUUGAUGCAGAAAUCAAGCCUAUUUUGUAGUGUUCCUAUUUUGACAAUUUCGUUUGGCCAAAUGAGCUGCGUUGUCACGAGUAUUGUUUACAUAACCUUGUAUGAUUAUCUUUAUGUCAGUACUCCAACUGAGACUCGUAUUUUCUGUGUCUAUUGAUCUUACGGAAUCAUAGAAUUAUUUCAGAAUACUAAGGAUGUGGCAUGAAUCAAUUAUAGUGUAAUCUAUAUUGUUGUAGCAUAAAUAAUUUUGCACAGAAGAAUAGGACAUAAAUGCUCCAGAAGAAAAUUCCACACUAUUUUCUUGCAAAUAAUUGUAAGGGUUUCACUACCUUGACAUUGACUAAGUUAGUUUUCUUAUAAAUCAUAGUCUUUCAUAUUUCUAUAUUGUAGUUUAAGGUUACUAUCAACGUUCUUCCUAUGUCUGUUCACAAUUUACGAUUGUGUUGCUUUACCUAGAGUGUGAGAUUUCUCAUUCUCCUUUUUUGAUAUACUGAGAAAUUACAGUCGCAACAAAUUUCUGGAAAUCGCAGAGACGAGAGAGUUUGUUUUAUAUGUUCAAUCCUCGAGUCUCUUUUCUCUGUAAUAGGACCAGACUCUGGGAUCGACAAACAUAUUGGGGUUUCAGAUUAUAAGAUUGUUUCAAAUAACAUAGCACCUGUAGCGACUGCUUGUGAUCGUCCUGUUUGUUUGAUGAAAAUAUUUCCGCUUUUCUGUCAUUUUUACACUGACUUCUUUUUAUUCAAUCAUAUCUUUCUGUUUUCGAGUUCAGUGAUCUAAUAAUCUCAUGACGCAGCUCUUGGAAGCUGGAACUGUACGAUAACAGAUGCAGAAGUCAUGCUUACGUAUAGCCGGUACGUUCCAAUUAACUGUAUAUACUUUUGAAUUGUUCAUGGAGCAUAACGAGAGAAGUAGUUGGCAUAUAUUCACCAUUUAAUUUGUCAUUUUCUCUUAAAUUAUUAAAUCCAUGUGCUGGGCUCAGUGAUAACGUGUUUGCCAGUCCUGAUCUGAUCAUAUGUUUGCUCCAAUUAAUAAGGCAAAGGCUCUGGAGUAUACACAUGAAUGAAUAAAUAAAUAAAUAAAGUCAAACAAAUUAAUCAAAAUUCUCUGCACAUUGCAUCAAGUAGCCAAUAUUAAAAUGGAAAACAAGGGUUGAUUCAGCAACUAAUCUAUAGUACCACUUUAUUUAGAAACUAUUGUAGCCCAUAUUACAUUUUUAUCAUCUCACCAAAUAUAUCUCAAGAAUUUUACCAGUGAUCAAUACAAGAAAAGAUGGGCGAGGCUAUUGUAGCUGAUUUGGCUGGCGGAUUGCUGGGCAAGCUUGUUUCACUUGCAGCAGAGGAAGUCGUCCAGGCCUGGAAUUUUCAUGAAGAUCUCGACACACUCCACCAGCGCAUGGAAUCAGUCGGGGCUCUCUUGUACGAUGCUCAUACCAAGAAUUUAAUCAUGUCUACUGCCAAAAACUGGUUUGACAAACUUGAAGCUGUUGCGAAUGUUGCUAAUGUAUUUAUGGAUGAACUUGCAUAUGAAGUCACUCGAAGAAAAGCGGAGAAUCGCCAUAAGUCACUUGACUUCUUCAUUCCUACCAAAAAUACCCUACUAUAUCGUCUCAAGGUAGCUCAUAAAAUCAAGUCCAUUCAAGCUUCCUUUGAUGAAAUUUUCAAAUCGGCAGUAGAUCUCGGACUACAGCCUGUAGCAUAUUUAAGGUCAACGGUGCAAGAUAGAGACAUCCGCAGCACCCCUUCAUAUGAAGACAAGUCAAUAAUAGUUGGACGAGAUGAAGAUGUAUCGUACCUAGUUCAAACAGUGUGCAAAAAACAUGAAGAGGAUUUAGAAGUCAUUGUUGUAGCGGGAAUGGGAGGUCAAGGCAAGACAACUCUUGCUCGUAUGGUUUUCAAUAGUGAUAAUGUCAUUACCAUGUUCCCGGAUCAGAGGAUGUGGAUUACUGUAUCAGAUGACUUUGACUUCAUUAAGAUUUUGAAUCAGAUGGUAGAAUCACUUACUUUAACCAACUUGGGGUUGACAAAUCCACAAGCACUUACCCGUAAACUUCAGGAGAGUCUAAAGGGAAAAAAGUUUCUGCUCAUACUUGAUGAUGUCUGGAAUGAAGAAUCGGUGAAGUGGGAUAACCUGACAAAUUCUUUGCUUGAAAUUGGUGGUGACAAAGGAAGCUGUAUUCUGGUUACCACCCGUAAACAAGAGGUCAUUGAUGCCAUGAGAAGUUGUGUGUCUUAUUGGCUGGAAAUAUUAACAGAGGAUGAAAGUUAUGAACUGUUCAAGAAAAUAGCAUUUUCAGAUGGAGGAGUUUUAGAGACCGAGGCAUUUGCGACCAUCGGGAGAAGCAUGGUGAAAAGGUGUGGUGGCCUACCUCUGGCAAUAAAGGCAUUGGCGGGGUUAUUAUACUCGAAGNGCAUGGUGAAAAGGUGUGGUGGCCUACCUCUGGCAAUAAAGGCAUUGGCGGGGUUAUUAUACUCGAAGAAGUCUGAGCAAGAAUGGUUGGAGAUCCAAUGCAGUGAAACAUGGGAAUCAAAAAGUGUAUUGCCUUCCUUGAAGUUAUCAUAUGAUAAUUUACCUUCUUUGUCAUUGAAACAAUGUUUUGCAUAUUGCUCUAUUAUGCCAAAGAAUUCAUUCAUCUAUAAGGAUGAACUGAUACAGAUAUGGUUGGCAUUAGGGUUCCUCCUGCCCCCAAGAAGAAGUAUUGCACUGACGGAAGAUAUUGGCAGCAAAUACUUCAAAAUUCUGUUGGGAAAUUCUUUGUUACAAGACGAAGAAAAGGAUGAAUGUGGGAACAUCAUCAGAUGCAAGAUGCAUGAUCUAGUGCAUGAUCUUGCACUAGAAGUAUCUAAACAUCACUCGGUAUCUGUGAAGGCAGGUGAAGAGCUGAGUCAUGAUUGCAAGGCUGUAUACAUGAGGCUUGAUAACGGGGUUUCAACAAUCAAACCAACAAUUCUGAAGAGAGCCUUUGAGAGAGUACAAGUAUUAUAUGCAGGGGCAGAUAUCCUUCUUCAUGUGUUACCUUAUCUCACACACCUGACUGUUCUGGUGUUAAAUGCGGAUGAUAAUCAGGUUGCCCAGGAGUUGCCAUUUUCACUACGCAAGAUGAAAUAUCUUAAACAUCUCGAUAUUUCUCACUACAAAUUGCCUACUGACAUCACAGAACUGUACAACUUGCAGACACUGAGAGUUGGAGACCUAGAUGAGAUUCCAAAAAGGUUUAGCAACUUGAUUAAUCUGAGACAUUUGUACAUUCGUAACAACUAUGGUAAAAAAUGCAUGUUUAAUGGGAUAGAAAGGUUGAUUAGUCUGCAAACACUUCCUUACUUUGUUGUGAGUAAAAAUCAAAAUUGUCUCGUUGGACAACUGGGAGGGUUGAAACAUCUUAGUGGUGAGAUUAGACUCUAUGGCCUUUACGAGGUGGCAAAUAUCGAAGAAGCAAGAAAAGCAAAGCUUUGUGAGAAGUCCAGUAUUCAGUGUUUACAGUUGAACUGGAGGAAUACUGAAUUUGGUCACGAAGACAGUCAGCACAAUGAUGAGGAUGGGAGCAAUGAAGACGAAAUGGAAGACAAAGAAUACAACGACCAGGAUGUGAUGGAAGGAUUGGAACCUCACCCAAAUCUGAAAACAUUGAUGAUUGUCGGUUUUAGAGGAAAGAAGUUUGCAUCUUGGAUUACAGUGAUGCUGAACUUGGUGAAACUCACAUUGAGAAAUUGCAACCGAUGUGAAGUACUUCCACCACUUAGUCACCUUCCCAAAUUGAGGGAGAUAGUGAUUGAAGGGAUGAGAAAUCUUAGGGUUGUGGGAGAUGUUUUCUGUGGUGGCCAAAGUGUAUUUCCUCAACUUGAGAGGUUGAAUAUAGAGAAUUGUCCAAGGUUGAGAAAGAUACUGCCUAGUUGCACAGGGGUUAGUUCUCAGAGUGAAUUUCCUAAACUUGAGAUUUUGAAAAUUACAAAUUGCCCAAGGUUGAGAACGAUCCCGAAAAGUUAUUUUCCGUCCUUAAAGAAUUUGGUUAUUACUGAUUUGGAGAGUGAUAUGAUGUUGGGAACUAUGAGCAGAUAUGUUAGCUCAUUAACCUCUCUAUCGCUUUUGAGGAUCGGUGAUUGAGGAGGAGACUCAUCUUUAUCUUCGUUUUCGAACAUGGAAUCCAUGAUUAACAAUUCUCUGUCUUUGACCGAAUUAGAGCUAUAUGACUGCAAGGGCUUAAAAUGUCUAACCAUUGGUGUCUCCCUUGAAUACUUAUUCAUCGAUGAUUGCCCGCAUCUAACUAGUAUAAAUUUAGUUGAAGGGUCAGCUGGUCUCAAAAUAUUUGGGAUUGGGAUACUCCCCUCCUCUCUUCUAGAUGGGCGAUUGUCCCAAAUUCAGUGUUCCAGGCUUGAAUGUCUGAGGUUAGGUCCCUUCUCAGAUGAAUUUGAUUAUAUUCCGUGGCCAUUCUCUUCUUCUUCUUUUUCUAACCUAUCUAUGCUAUAUCUGUAUGGGUGGGAAAAGGUUAAGUCAUUAGUGCACUUUGAGCAACGCCUGUUCACCGCCUUUCCUGCCUUGGGUUCUUUGACUUUAUGUGGUUUCGAAGGAUUGAAAGCUCUUCCGGAUUCAAUAGCAAAACUUCCAUCUCUCAAGGUAUUAUUCAUCUUUGAAUGUAAUAAUUUGGAGAGUUUGCCUGUAUUUGAAGAAUCUCAUAUCCUUCAAGCACUGGCUAUAAUUGAGUGUCCUGUUCUGAGACAAAGAUGCUGUAAGGGUCAAGGCCCAGAAUGGUUCAAAAUUCAAUACGUUCCAAAUAUAUAUUGGUAAGCUUUGCACGUCAAAUUUAUCUCUUCUCCCUCUCAAUUAAUCUCUGUUUGUACUAUUUAAUUGAUAUAUCUGAUCUUAUUCAAUCAGGGAUCUUGAGAGCUCGUAGGGAGCUUUUUAGCUUGGUGAGACUCCAUCUUCCCUGCCUUGACUGAUUUGGUAAAGAAAAGAAAGCUUUCCCGAGUUCAAUAGCAGACCAUCUAUUGCUCAAGCAGUUAAUUAUUCAGAACUCUGAAAAUUUGGAGAGUUUGUCCAUGUUUGAGAACAACGAGAAUUUGGCAAUUCUGAAAGAAUGAUACACGGAAGAGAGAAUGGUCCAAGAUUCAACAUAUUCCAGAUAUAAUUUAUGUGAACUUGCAUAUAUAAAUUAUCACCUCACCCUCUGUUUAUCACUGUUUUAAUGAUAUAUCUUUAUUUGUUUGAAUCAGGAUUUAGAUAUUGCAGUAUCUCCUUCUUGUCACUGUAUUCCGUGUUCAAUUUCCAAAAAUUAUACUCCUAAAUGCUUCUGAAUAUUAUUCCUUCCUUCACAGAGUGCAAAGUUAUUUAUCCCUGGAGUGAGAUAAAAAGUGAUAUAUGUCCGAUAUUAAUCUUUUUUAGAUAAAAAUUAAUUAUAUUGUCCAUAUCCUUCGUACUAUAUAAAAAUAUUAAACAAAACAGAAGACUUGAGUCCUUGACUGUUUAAGAUAAAUAUGGUAGACAUAUGAAGAUUAAAGGGAGGACAGAGAAUGCAACGACGAGGAUGUGAUGAAGGAUCAGAACCUCAUCAAAAUAUAAUUGAAUUGACUAUUGAAGAUUUUAUGGGGCAGAAGCUUGCAGCAUGGAUUACAAUGAUGAGAAACUUAGUGAAAAUCUCAUUUGCAGAUCGCAACAGAUGCCAAGUACUUCCACCACUUGGUCAUCAUCCUGAUCUUAGAAAGAUGGAAAUUUAUUGGAUGCCUGAUCUCAGGGUUAUGGGGAGUGAUUUAUGCUCUGUAGCAGAUACAAUAACACUGUAUCCGUCACUGAUAGAGCUCUUUUUGUCCGAUAGGCCAAACCUAGAAGAAUGGGUAGAAGCAAUUAUAAGUAGGGGCGAUGGCCAAUGUGUGUUUCCUGAACUUGAGCAUUUAGAAAUUGUGAAUUGUCCAAGGUUUUAAGCAAGAUCCUGAAUAGUUGUUUUUCGUCCUUGAAGGAGUUGAGACUUGUCAAGAGUAGCAUGAUACUAGAAACUAUGAGCAGAAGUGCUAGCUCACUUACCUCUCUUGAGCUCAAGUUUAUCAGUGAUGCAAGAGGAGAUUCAUCUUCUUCUAUGAUUAACCUGCUGCUGCUGAAAAACAGUUACCUGUCUUUGACCAAAUUCGAGAUACGUGAGUCAAGGAUCUAAGACGUCUAACGCUUGGUGCCUCUCUUGACAGCUUGUUUGUAAUGGAUGAACGCAUCUAAUUAGCAUUGAUUUAGCCGAUAUUUCAAUUGUGGGAUUCCCCUCCCCCCUGUCAGAACCAGUAUUUGCCUGGCUUGUAGAAUUGGGCUUAGAUCCCUUUUCCGAGGAAUCAGAUGAAUUUUUUCAGAUAUUAUUAUGCACCCUUUGUUUAUAUUGACAGGACUCUGUUCUCGGAUCUCCUAAACAUCAGAGACUUGGAUGGGGAUGUGACAUGUUACCUCGCGUUGGAGAUAUGGAGCUUGAAGAUUUAUGGAUAGAACAAUCAAGGUACAUCAUGCAGCAUCUCUUUAUUGUUACUAUUCUAGAGUUUUGUUUGAUAAAUCAGUCCUUGAUGCAUUUGAAUUACUUCUUAUAUAAAUCUUGUAUUGACAUGUACUACUAGAUUCUAAUACAUUUUAGCACAUUAUUACAGCUAUUGUGAAGAAUUUGAGAUUAUGUAUGCUAAUUGAUCGUGGAUCUUUUAAAUAUCGAUGCACAGUGAUGGCUGGAUUUUAUCUAUUUUUAGAGUGGUCAGUAUUUCAAAUUUAUAAAUAGGUGAUUGGACAAUAUUUUUAUGUUUCAAAGAAAUGUCUAAGGGUUAUUUUGUGAUUCUUUUUUACCGGAAAAGUGGGCCUUAGCAACCUUUUGAUGAAUUAAGAGAAUACAUGGUCAUCUUAUUACAAAUUUGAAAUUUCGACAAUCAAAAUGAAAAAAUGGAUAAAGUUCGGCUUCUAAAGAUAUUCUCCUUUUUUUAUAUUACUGGCAAAUUAUAAUCGCAUCGAAUUUCUGGAAAUAAUUCUUUUCAAGGAAAUGCUCUACUUGUUGCUUAGAAAUUACUAGUUACCAAAAUUCCUGCUUUGAAGUCAUUUUUACACGAUGACUUCCUAUGAUUCGUAAUUAUUUUUUCGAGUUUGCGCAUCUAAUAAUCUCAAAGUGCAACUCUUGAAAGUUGCUUAGAAAUUAUUGAAUCCAUGUGCUGGUCUCAAGUUACAAUGUGUGUAAUUUACGGCACUGAUCAGCGACUUCACCGGACAUUACUGUGUCUUCUGACAACAACCAUAAGCUUUUCUAUUUCAACUUUGUUAGCUCCCCUGGCUGUCAGCUUAAUCCAUCAGAUCUAUAUUUUUAGUUUAUUUAAACAUACACAUGCACUGCAAAUUGCAACGUGACUGAGAUAAAUUACUUCCUUAAGUUGUCAAUUUCACAGUGAUUAACAAUAAAAUGUAUCAUAAUAUUAUACUUUUCAUAUUUUUGCGAGUCCUCAUCAUGUAUUCAUGUGCUUGCUCUGAUCAAUCUGGCAAAGCCUCUGGAGUAUACACAUGAAUGAAUGAAUGAAUGAAUAAAUAAAGUCAAACAAAUUAAUUGUGUCACGAUUAAAUAAAUCAAAAUUCUCCUCAUGUUGCAUCAACUAGCCAUUAUGAAAAUGGGAAACAAGGGUUGAUUCAGCAACUAAUUUAUAGUGCCACUUGAUUUAGAAACUGCUAUAGCCCAAAUUACACUUCUAUCAUGUCACCAAAUAUAUCUCGAGAAUUAUACCAGUGAUCAAUACAAGAAAAGAUGGCCGAGGCUAUUGUAGCAGAUUUGGCUGGCGGAUUGCUGGGCAAGCUUGUUUCACUCGCAGCUGAUGAAGUUGUCCAGGCUUGGAAUCUUCAUGAAGAUCUCGACACACUGCACCAGCGCCUGGAAUUUAUCGAUUUCUUACGAGUGAGGUGUCGAUAUAUAUGAAUCGAGGGAUUUUGAUUCCGAUAAUUGGUUAGUUAGACGAUCAUAAAAGUGAUAUCAUUUGAAAAAUAAUGAAAAUAAUGUUAUAAUUUUGUGAUCGAUUUGUUUAGAAAACAAAGGGAUUUGAUCGAAAAAUUGAAUAAAAAUUAGGAUUUCAUGUAAAUGACUGAGGAGAGAACCCUAGAUUGGAUCUGCAAAGAAAAUCCAGAUAGGAUAGGAUAUGGAUAAGACAAUUAUUAGGUUGACUGGUUGAGUGGUGGAAAACAAAGAAUGAUCUGCCAAUAUUAAAAUGCAAAACAAAGGUUGAUCUAGCAACAAAUCUAUAGUGCCACUUGAUUUAGAAACUGUUAUAGCCCAAAUUACAUUUUUAUCAUCUCACCAAAUAUAUCUCAAGAAUUAUACCAGUCAAUACAAGAAAAGAUGGGCGAGGCUAUUGUUGCUGAUUUGGCUAGUAAAUUGUCCAAGGUUUUAAGCAAGAUCCUGAAUAGUUGUUUUUCGUCCUUGAAGGAGUUGAGACUUGUCAAGAGUAGCAUGAUACUAGAAACUAUGAGCAGAAGUGCUAGCUCACUUACCUCUCUUGAGCUCAAGUUUAUCAGUGAUGCAAGAGGAGAUUCAUCUUCUUCUAUGAUUAACCUGCUGCUGCUGAAAAACAGUUACCUGUCUUUGACCAAAUUCGAGAUACGUGAGUCAAGGAUCUAAGACGUCUAACGCUUGGUGCCUCUCUUGACAGCUUGUUUGUAAUGGUUGAACGCAUCUAAUUAGCAUUGAUUUAGCCGAUAUUUCAAUUGUGGGAUUCCCCUCCCCCCUGUCAGGACCAGUAUUUGCCGCGCUAGUAGAAUUCGGCUGAGGUCCCUUUUCCGAGGAAUUAAUCGGAUGAAUUUUCAUGGCCAUCAUCUUCUUCUUUGAAUGCGACUUCAUUUCCUAAGCUAAUCUUGCUUCAUUUGCUUGGGUCGGGAAAGGUAAAGACAUUGGUGCUCUUUGAUCAAAUUCAGUUCCCUGCCUUGAAAGUGUUGUUUAUAAUUGAUUCCAUACCUAGUGGCUAGUUAAUUGAUUUCAUACCUAGUGGCUAGUUCUCCCAAAUUCAAUAGCAAGACUUCCAUCUCUAAGGGCAAACCCAGCAGUGAUCGAAAGAUCCAAAUUUGGAGCAGAUUAUCCCAAAUUCUUCUCCAGCAGUAAUUCAAAAAGUGAUCCAAAUUUGGAUCAGUGAAUAGUACUGAUCCAAAUUUGGAUCACCAUUGUUCACUGAUCCAAAUUUGGAUCACCUACUUUAUUAUAAAAUAAUGAUUUUGUUAUUUCUAUAUCUUUCGUUUAUCGGACUUAAAAUUAAUUUGUGAUUAUUAAUAUUUAAUUAAUAAUAAUUAAUAAUUAACAGAAUUAAUGUUUUAAUAAAAACUUAGAAUAAUAGGAUAGCAAAUUUCAUUGAAAUUAAAAAAAGAGUACAUUACAUGCAUACAAUAAGAAUUACAUAAAAUGCAUGAAAUAAAAUUACAAUAUCGAGAAAUGACUAGAAAACAGUACGACAAAUAUAAAUUUUGAUUUAAUUGAACAUAUUAUUUUUUUUUCCUUUGAGAUAAUCAAAAUAUUAUCCGUAACUAUUCAUAUCAUUUUGGGAUACUUGAGCUUCAUCUUCAUUGUCUUGAUUUUGAGUUCAAUAUAAAAUUUAUGUAAUGUAAUAUACAAAAAGUAAUUUGGAUCAGAAUUUGGAUCACGUUGCUGGAGUUGGUCAGAAAUUUAGAUCAGAAUUUGGAUCAGUUGGUGAUCCAAAUUUAAAUUUUUUGAUCACAACUGCUGGAGAUGGCUAAAGGGACUGCGUAGUCUUAGGUUUGUGUUUGGAAAUUAGCGGUGUGAGGAAAAAUUAGAGAUUUGUGGUGAUUUAGAGGUUUGACAAUUUUAAUCCGCUAAUGAUAGUGUUGGAUAGUUAGCUAAGAAUUUCACUUUGUUCUCACUCGUUAGCUUUAGGGGGAAUAUUGAGGACUUAAAUACAAGAAUAGUUUAGUCUUUGUAAUUGAGUAGGUAUUAGGGCUGCUCAUGGGUUGUCCAACCCGUUCAAACCAACCCCACCCAACCUUGAACUAGGCCGACUAACCCGACACAUUCCAAACCGUGGGUUAAUUGGGUUGAUUUUUGGUUGAGCCGUUUAUUAUGGGUUGGGUUGAAAUAUAACUUUUAAAAACCUUAAACCAACCCAACCCGGUCAAAAUAUAUCUUUAUCACUCUGAUAGAAUAUUUUUGGUUGCUCACGGAACUAUAUUUAUUUAUUUGAUGAUCGAAUGUGCAGUGAGUGUAGUGCAAUGUGCAGAAAAAAUUAGAAAUAAAGCUUUGUAGUUCAAAUCAAACGACUCACAUUACUAGUUCUUAUGAUUAUAUAUCAUGGCGAAAACAUUAUUUUUAAUAGUUAGUAGUGUAUUAAGAUUCAGCUGUCCACCUUAGUAUGAAGAGAAUAUCUGCACUCUAAAAGCACAUGAUAUUUUGUAUCGGUGCAGUGUGCUAUGUUAUUGUUAAUUGUACACAACAAAAUGGUGCAAAACAUGUUUUGGGUUAUGCUUAUCUUGCAAAUUUUCAACCCGAUCAACCCUACCCUAACCAACCCAACCCGUCAUACAAUUAGUAGGGUUGGGUUUCUAAUUCUUUUUAUGAUUAAUGGGUUAAAUUUUUGUAACCCGUACUAAAUUUUUGUAGCGAAUGAUCGAAACCGGUCCAACCCAGCCCAUGUGCAGCCCUAGUAGGUAUUGUAUUCUAUAUAAAGUCCCACUUAGUUUCAUUCUAGGCAGACUUUGACCAUGUAGUCCUUUUGAGAUAUAUAGCAGUAAAAACAUAUCGUUUCAUUCACUGUUCUUCUUGGUUCUUCCUUCAAGAUAUAAACUACAUUUACUUAGAUAUAUGAAAGUUAUAACCUCGAGACAGCUGCGUGUCCAGUUCUGAGAGAAAGAUAUAGCAAGGGAAGUGGGCCGGAAUGGUUUAAGAUUCAAUAUAUUCAAAUUAUAAAAUUGAAUUAGAUCAGUUCAGUACAAGCCUAAGUAUAGCCUUCAACUCUAUAAACUUUUAUUAGAGCAGUUCCCGAAGAAUUUGGAGGGUUUGCGAACGUGUGAAAAACUUCAUAGCAUUCGAGGAUUGGAUAUGACUGAUGUCCUGUCAUGAAAGUAAGAUGUAAAGGCUGAGUGCCCCAAAAUGGUUCCGGGUUCAGCGUAUUACACCGAUAAUAUGGUAGAAAUUUAUGAACUUAAUUUAUUACCUCUGCUAUACUCAUCUGUUUGGAUAUGUUGAUGUGUGAGACUUUUUUUCACGUACUUUUAAGAGUUUUGAUCAUAUACUUAUAUUUUAAAAUUUCUUUUUGGAAAUUAAAAUAUGACAUUAACAUUUUUAUUCAAAAAAAAAUAUUAAAAACAAUAAUUUUAAGCAUACCAUCAAAACUCCUAAAAAUAUGUGUAAACAAGUCAAGAGACUAUUACAUCCUGGAGUAUUAUUUUUUUUGGAUAUUAAUAUGCACUCUUUGUUAAUAUUUGUUGAUAUUGUCACCAGACGUUAGAGAUUUGGAGCUUUGUUUGGGAUCCAUGGAUAGAACAAUCAAGGUACAUCAUGCAGUAUCUCUUUGUUGUUACUAUUCUAGAGUUUUGUUGGAUAAAUAAGUCCUUGACGCAUCUGAUUUCUGGAUAUCGUAGAGUAUGCAGCUUAAAGGAAAGAAGUUUCCAGCUUGGAUUACGAUGAUGCUGAACUUGGUGAAAAUUACAUUGAGAGAUUGCAACCGAUGUGAAGUACUUCCACCACUUGGUCACCUUCCCAAAUUGAGGGAGAUAGCGAUUGAUGGGAUGAGAAAUGUUAGGGUUGUGGGAGAUGAUUUUUGUGGUGGCCAAAGUGUAUUUCCUCAACUUGAGAGGUUGAAAAUUGAGAAUUGUGCAAGGUUGAGAAAGAUACUGCCUAGUUGUUUUCCGUCAUUGAAACAACUCUUCUUUUGGCAAUUGCCAAAUCUAGAAGAAUGGGAAGCAGCAGUUAUAAGUACAGCGGUUAGUUCUCAGAGUGGAUUUCCUAAACUUGAGAGUUUGGAAAUCUGGAGAUGUCCAAGGUUGAGAAAGAUACUGUCUAGUUGUUUUCCGUCAUUGAAACAACUCUACUUUAGGGAAUUGCCCAAUCUAGAAGAAUGGGAAGCAGCAGUUAUAGGUACAGGGGUUAGUUCUCAGAGUGGAUUUCCUAAACUGGAGAGUUUGGAAAUUUUGGAAUGUCCAAGGUUGAGAAAGAUCCCGAAUAGUUAUUUUCCGUCCUUAAAGAAGUUGGAAUUAACUGAUUUGGAGAGUGAUAUGAUGUUGGGAACUAUGAGCAGAGUUGUUAGCUCACUAACCUCUCUAUUGCUUAUGAGUAUUGGUGACGGAGGAGGAGACUCGUCUUCUUUAUCUUUGUUUUCGAAUAUGGAAUCCCUGAUUAACAAUUCUCUGUCUUUGACCAAAUUAGAGCUAAUUGAUUGCAAGGGCUUAAAAUGUCUGACCCUUGGUAGCUCCCUUGAACACUUAAAAAUUUAUAAUUGCCCGCAUCUAAUUAUUAUAAAUUUAGUUGAAGGGUCAGCUGGUCCCAAAUCUAUUGAGAUUGGGGAACUCCCCCCCUCUCUUCUAGAUGGGGGAUUUGCCCAAAUUCAGAGUUCCAGGCUUGAAUAUCUGGGAUUAGGUCCCUUCUCAGAUUUGGAUUAUAUUCCGUGGCCAUUCUCUUCUUCUUCUAAUCUAAUUCUGCUAGACCUGUUUGGGUGGGAAAAGGUCAAAUCAUUAGCGCUCUUUGAGCAACCCCUGUUUAUCGCCUACCCUGCCUUGACUAUCUUGAAUUUACAUGAUUUUGAAGGAGUGAAAGCUCUUCCGGAUUCAAUAGCAAAACUUCCUUCUCUGCAGGAUUUAAGCAUCUUUGAUUGUAAGAAUUUGGAGAGUUUGCCCCCAUUUGAAGAAUCACAUACUCUUCAAACACUGAAUAUAGUGCGGUGUCCUGUUCUAAAACGAAGAUGCAGUAAGGGUCAAGGGCCAGAAUGGUUCAAAAUUCAAUACGUGCCAAGUAUAAUCUGGUAAGCUUUGCAUGUCAAAUUUAUAUCUUCUCCCUCUCAAUUAAUCUCUGUUUGUACUAUUUAAUUGACAUAUCUUAUUUUGUUAAAUCAGGGAUUAUAAGAGGUGGCAGUGAAAUUUUUAGCUUGGUGAUUGUCUCUACUCCAUCUUCCCUUGUAUGUAGUAAAUUUAAAGAAGAGAAAGCUCUCUUGAGUUCAAAAGCAGACCUUCUAUCGCUCAAGCAGUUAGUUAUCUGGAAUUCUGAAAAUUUGGAGAGUUUGCCCAUGCUUGAGAACAACGGGAAUUUGCUAAUUCUGAAAGUAUGAUACACGGAGGACGAAUGGUCCAAGAUUCAACAUAUUCCAGAUAUAAGUUAUGUAAACUUGCAUAUCUUAAUGAUCACCUCACCCUCUGUUUGUCACUAUUUUAAUGAUAUAUUAUAAUUUGUUGAAUCAGGAUUUAGAUAUAAAGGGAAUGCUCUAUUGUUGCCUCGAAGUAUUUAUGCUCUUUUCUAGUUCAUUAUUAUAUUUAUGUCUUCUGGGUUCAAUGAUCAAAUAAUAGUCAAUUUCAAUGAUGUAAUAUGUUUGUGUCAUGGGAUAACUGAUGCAGAUGCCAAGCCUAUUUUGUAGUGUUCCUAUUUUGACAAUUUUUUGUGGCUAAAUGAGUUGUGUUGUCAUGAGAAUUGUUAACAUAACCUUGUAUGAUUGUCUUGAUAUAUUUUACAGAAAGGGGAAUAUAUCUAGUUCAUGGACAAAUGAAUUAAUUUUCCCUAGAAAUUACUCGAAACUUCUUUGCAGAAAAAAGUUGAAACAUUCCCUUCUACUCUUGGUCUAUUCUGACCAAUUAGAAACAAUUUAGCUUCCUUGCUCUUUCUGGGAACUUUGUUAGUAUAUAUUAUAAUAAUUGAGAUCGAAUCUUCUGAACAUCAGAGACUUGGAUGGGGAUGUGACAUGUUACCACACAUUGGAUAUUUGGAGCUUGUUUGUGAUCCAUGGAUAGAGCAAUCAAGGUACAUCAUGCAGUAUCUCUUUCUUGUUACUAUUCUAGAGUUAUGUUUGAUAAAUCGCAGUACUGUUACUUUGAUCUCAUUCUUCUGUUCAAAGUGCAGAACCAAUUACAAUUAAUAAUUGUGUUGUGUGCCGAUCUACAUGGAGUGAGAUAUCAUAGUGUAAUAAUGGUUAUUUUUGAGGGAAAUACUAAUCUUUGCUGUUACUCACAAUUUACAGUUGCAUGAAAGUGUGUUUUAUCUGUUUAAUCCGCUCAUCUGUUUCUACAUUGGACCAGCCUCCAGGAUUAAGAGAACAGUGACUGUAGCCAGUUGCACUCUGCUUCUUUGAGUUUCAAAUAUCCAAAUUAUUUCAGAAUACCAAGGAUACGGCAUGAAUCAUGAUGGCGUAUCUCAGUGACUUGUUUGUCGUUGUCACAGUAAUUGAAUCUUGAUUACUGGAUCCGCUGCUUGAGUGCAUGUCAUCCUGUUUUUUCAUCAAUAUUUCUAAUGAAAAUUAAAUACUCAAGUGCAGUAAUGCCUUUAAUUGUCUACUCCUUUGCUGAGAUUGCCUUGUGGGAAAAAAAAGGAGCUCCCUGAACUCAAUAAGAGAAUCCAAGUUAUUGGCAUACUGCACUUUUCAAGUUGGCACUUUUUCUUAAAUUUAAAAUAGAGUACCUUUCUUCUAUCUCCUUGUUUCAAUGUAGUUGCUUUCAUUUUGGCUAAAUUAACGAUCUCUAUGCUCCCCAGACUCCUUUUCACUGUAAUAUCAAACAUUAAGAUAUCAAAAUUUGGUUAUUAUUAUAUUAUAAUAAUUAUUAUUAUAUUAUUAUGAAAACCAUUCUACACCUGUCAGGAUUUUGUAAAGUCGCGAUCAUCUCCAACGCCAACAAACUAUUCAUUUUAAUUUUUAUAACUCUUAAAAUUUAAUUUACUAAAAACUCCAUAAUAAUUUCCAUAGCUGUUUUACAUCGGUAAAUCAGUUGAAGCCCAUAGAUUUUAACAAUCUCUGGGGAGGUCUAGACAGAGGAGCUCCAAAACCAGUUACAACAACACUGUGUCCAUGACUGAUAGAACUCAGCUUGUAUAAAUUGCCAAAGCUAGAAGAAUGGGUAGAAGCAGAUAUGAGUACAGGGGUAAUAAGAUAUAGGUGAAUGCUUCAACUAUCUGCAUAUUGUGAUAACAAUGAUAUAAGUAGAUGAUAGUAUGCCCUUUUUCUCUAGCACCAACAAACAAAAUAUAUGCACUCUUCAAUUUUGUUAAUUGAUGUAUAUAAAAACUGAACGAUAAAAUAUAUGUAGUAUGUUACUUGUGCCCUUGUGGGAGACUUGGUAGAACAAUAAAGGUACCUUAUAACUUCAAAAAGUAUCUUUCUUGUUACUAUUCUGAAUGAUGGCAUGAUUAAUAACUUCCUUUAUGCUUCUAAAUGGUUGUUUAUGGUUACUACUUAUCCUUAUACAUUUCUGUGCAGAGCUGAUAAGAGCAUCUCCAACACUCCUAAUCCCUUAGCUAAAAGUCUAGUUGGCUUUCCAAAAUUAAAUUUUAUAGUCAAUGUUCACAAAAAAUGUAACUUCAACCACAACAAGCCCUUGUGUAUAAUUAUAGUCAUCCUCCUAUAAAUGACUCUAUUUGUCGAUCCGCUACAGAUCUGUAGCGAAUUCCACGUCAUCUCCCGCAAUUUAUUUUCCUCCUUCCCAUUGAUUACAUAUUAUUUAUUACCAUGUUAAACUGAUAUAUUCUAUUUAUAAUAAUCUAAAUAUUAAUAACAUAUUAUUUUUAAAUUAUAGCCAAUAUCAUUGAAGCACCAUGUCUUACAGAUUCAGCAAAUUUUACAUAAUGUCUUACAGGUCCAAUUUAGCCGACGAUUAUAGCCAACGUUAUUGGAGAUGCUCUACCGCACCUAGCAACUGUGUUGUGUGCCAGUUCAUACGGAGUGAGAUUUUUAGUAGUAACAGAUAUACGAGUCUUUACUCGUAAAGUCAUUUAUUUUUUAGGCUUCUUCAACCGACAUAGUGGAUAUUAGACACGCUGCUGUUUUGCAGAUAUUUAAGAAUGCUAAUUGAAUUUCUGCACUGAUGUUUCUGAAGCAUUGCUGUCUGGUGCUUGAUGUUCACUGUUUAAUGUCCUUUUAACUUUCAUGAGUUUGAAAUAUAAUGGUUGUUUAUCCAUUAUAUACCAUUUUUUAGUUCGAAGGUUAAUUGGAACAUAUCAUAUACUUGGAAAGUGGAAUCGAUCUAGUUAAAACAUAGCAAAUCUAUCAAUACACAACCCCAAAUGAUUAAAAGAGCAUUUAUCCAUUAUAAAUUCUUGAAAAAGUAUGAUAAUUAUCACCUUUUACACAAGAAUAGUUUGAAAAACUUAUAAUUAAUUUUGCAAAUCAUAUAUAUGACACAUAAUAACUAAAGGCCCUCAAAAAACUAUACACAAUUUAAAUAUUAAAUAAUUUAAAAGAUCUCAAUUUAAAUUUUGUAUAAUAUCAACGAUUGAACCAGUUCCGGAACUAAAAUGUUACAAGAUUUAACAUUUUCCGCUUACAGUCAUGACUCAUAAACUUACAUUUCUACCUUACCCCAUCAGCCACUCUUUUUACUAAAUUAUUUACUGACCUUUGGCUUAAGCCGUUUACCCACCAGUAUAAGAUUGCAACCACUUCCAAAACCACUUCCAAGCUCCGCAAGUACCCGGCGGUUCCCCGCAUCUCGCACGUGUCGUACUGAGGAUACAGAUAAUGCAAAUUCAAAUUCGAAUAUAUGAUUGAUUAAUAUUUGUAUUAUAGGUUAACGAUGAGAACAAGCCUUGGCAUCUUUUCUCUUCGGAAGAUUUGAACGCAGGUAUGUAACCUUCAAAAUUACAAUUUUCAAGAAUUCAAAAUUGAAUUCAAAUCGUUAUGUAUGUAUAGGUAACUGUUUGAACUCUCUGUAAUUCCAUCUUCUCUCUAUCAUCUAUUUUAAGCUUCUCUAAUUCAUGCUGAUUCUACUCUUUUUAUUGUUAGUUUUGUCUAUGUUUGUCACCCUUCUAAUGAUUUCUACUUAUUUUGAUUGCAGUUGAACUUCGUCCAAAUAUUGUUUGAUGAUUUGUCCAAAAGAAAAAGAUUGAAAAAUACAUAAUUAUUCAGGUAAUUUAUGUAUGUUAUAGUGUUUGUUUUGAUUAUUUAUUUGAUAUUGGUAUAUAUACCUGAAUAUAUUUGUUCUUAUUUGGUGUCUUCAUUUUUAAAUAUAUCAUUCUUACUUUUAGACCUUUUAUAUUCCCUCAGUCCCGCCAGAUUCUUUACAUUUUCUUUUUUGCGAUGUCUCAUCCAAUUCUUUACAUUUCAAGACUUACUAAAAAUUGGCUGGGACGGAGGGAGUAAUGAUUGUUAUUUGACAAAGCAUAGUUAUGUAUUCUUUAAUGAGAGUUUCAGCGCGCUUAAUAGCAAUGUUUAAUAUUGAUAGAAUGUGCUUAAUCAGAAUCUGUUGUAGAGUUGUCCGCAAGAAGUUGAGUUUUGAUAUGAUUAAAAUGAUGCGUUUUUGUUGGAUACAUAUGUAGAUUGAAUUUGAGUGUGCAUGAGUAAUGGGUUUGUUGAGUUUUGAGAGUUUAUUAAGUACACAACUUUAGAUUAAGCUCAUACGAUGUUAGUCAUGGAUCUAGAGUGACAGAUCUGAAAAAUUGAGCAAAUGGGGAUGCCUCCAUCAGUACAAUCAACAUGGUUGUUACGUCGGUAAGUCGAGUCGAGUCGACUCGACCGGACUCUCCGGCAAGUCGAGUCGUGACUAGUCGACACAAGUCGACAAGGUAUAAAACUAAUAAUAUAUAUCAUAUAUACUUCUAUUUAUAUGUGUAACAAAUUAUAUAUGUGUUCUAACUUCUAAAUUCCCACUUCUAACAAUUCUUUUUCUGCUUUUCUCUUAUUUAUACUUGUUUGAGAUCUUAAAGACCUAAACCUACAAAGAUAAAGACCACGAGAAAAUUGAAAGAAGACUAAAGAAGAGAAGAAAACUAUGUAAACAUGUAAUCUAAUAUAGCAAUUUCCUACUAUUGUACCUAACAAAGAGAUUACUUAUCAAAUGAUUAAACAUUCAAAUUCAAUCAAUGAAUUGUCACAAUAUUGCUGUGCAAGCCAGCAACAUCAAAAUAAAUGCAGAACAACAAAACUGAACAGAAACAUAGCUUAAACUGCAGAAAUGUAGGCAGUUUCAAGCUGCAGAAAUCUGGGCACUAGCAGUUUAAAACUGCAGAAUUCUGGGCCCUUUUAAGUGCAGAAUGCAACUGUGUAACUGCAGAAGAGUGCAUAACACCAAAACACAUAGNUGUACCUAACAAAGAGAUUACUUAUCAAAUGAUUAAACAUUCAAAUUCAAUCAAUGAAUUGUCACAAUAUUGCUGUGCAAGCCAGCAACAUCAAAAUAAAUGCAGAACAACAAAACUGAACAGAAACAUAGCUUAAACUGCAGAAAUGUAGGCAGUUUCAAGCUGCAGAAAUCUGGGCACUAGCAGUUUAAAACUGCAGAAUUCUGGGCCCUUUUAAGUGCAGAAUGCAACUGUGUAACUGCAGAAGAGUGCAUAACACCAAAACACAUAACUUUAUAGUAAUUAAAACCAUAAACUAGAGAGCAUAAACUGCAGAACCAAGUUAAAAAAGUGGAAAAAUGCAGAAUUAAGCUCCAGUCGACCGACCGGGGCUUCCAGUCGACCCGACUAGUCGACCCAGUCGACCAGUUGAUCAUGAGUCGGGCGAAAUACUUACAAUUUUCUAGUCGACCAGCCCAGUCGAGCCAUACAUACCGACUGCUCGACUAGUCGACGACUAGUCGUGACUAGUUGAGCGACUCAACAACAAUGACAAUCAAUUUUAAAAAAAUUGAACAUUUAAAAACGAGAUUAAAGAUGGAUGCAUGUGUAUGAGUUUGGCUAAUACUAAUGGCCUUUCAUUAGUGCUCACAAGUUCUUAAGAACUUGAUAUAGCAUAAAAAAAAACUCCAUUCAUUGUUGCACCACCUGGCGUUUUGGCUAUACUUUUCAGUUUUCAUAGACUAACAUUAUGUCUAAUUAAAGAGAUCUCUUUGGUUCACGAUGUACGUAUUUCGAUAGACAUCAACUUGAUUUUCUUUUUUAUUAUUUUGUUUUCUUUAGCUUAUAAUGCAUGUUAUAUCCAAAUGUGAAUAUUUGGGUGGGACAGAGGGAGUAACUGUCUUGCAGGCAACCACAUCCACAUACACCGGUCACGAAUUGUCUGAUCCUACAUUCUCUUUCAGGUAGAGUAAACUAGGAAUCCCACAAGGCUCAGUUUUGUUGAUAAAAUAGGAAAUACAGACCAAAUGACAUGCUUUUGACAAAUAUUUUAUAAAACAAAAUAAAUUAAUAUGUUAAAACAAAAAACUAUUAUUUAAAUGAUAUUUUAGAUUAUGUAUGCUAACUGAUUGUGGAUCUUUCGAAUAUUGAUGGGAGAAGACUGAUAUGAUGUAGCCCUGCUAAAAAUAAUGUGAAAAUAUGUAUUCCAAGAAGCACAUAAAUAUAUUUUGACGGAUGGAUAUAAAAUAAUAAAUGUACAUCAUUACUUCAUGAGUAAUGCUACAUGCACAUAAAGCUCUAUAGAAUUUUUGCACAGAAUGACGUGGUAGCGCCAGCUGUGCAUCAUACUAAUGAGACUUGUCUGCCAUUAUUUCAGCACACAGACUUUUCCUUUUCCUUUUCAUGUUCCAAUUCAUUUACAAAAUAGUAUUAUUUUUAGUUUUUAUUUUUUUUACACUUUUCAUUUUUUUUAUUAUUUAUAUCUUUUUCCUCUGCUAGCAAAGGAACACAAAACAUCAAAGAACAUUCAGAAAGUUUAUUGCUGCAUUAUCAUCGCAUCUCUUCCCAGGUAUGAUAUCUAUAUUCUAAUUUAUUUAUUUUGUAUAUUAUUGGAUAUGUUUUUAUUAAUAGAUUGUUUGUUUAUUGUUAAGCUUGUCUAUUGUUAAGACCCAUUCAUAUAAAUUUACAUGUAUAUUGUUAAGCUCUGUUAUGUUACGUAGGAAGAUUCAUUUAUGCAUUAGGAGAUCAUCACAAUGAAACGUCAAGGAAUAAUGCAGUCGAUAGUGAUGGCUGCAUCAGAAACCGAUGGAACCGCAUCAGUAAGCGGAUACUUGAUCAGCAUCAAGUACUAUCAGUAUCAGGAGAUUGAGUUUGACAAGUUUAGUUCCCGACAAAGAUAAAAUAUUUUUUUUUGUGAAUUUGAUAUAAAAGUUAGAUGUAAAAAUCAACAAGUAUUAAAUGUAAAAAAUAAAUAAUAUAAGUGAAAAUUAAAUAAUAUAAAAAAUUAUACAAGUUUUAAGCAGUGUUCUAAAAAGCGCAUUAAGCGGCCGUCUAAGCGGGCGCUUAAGCGGAAUCGGAGGAUAAAACGCUUCGAUUUUACAUUAAGCGGGUGAUUAAGCGUUUUUUAACAUUAAGCGGUCUGUUAAGCGGAUUAAGCGGUCAUUAAACGGAUUAAGCGGUCAGAAUGAUGUUGACUUGCUAAUUUUUUAUAUUUAAAUAGAAAUAUUUUUUUUAUAAAUAUUAUUAAAAUUUUAAAAAAAUAUUAAAAAUUUCUUUUUUUAUCAAAAAUAUUUUAUGUUUAAAUUCUUAUUACUUAAUUAUUUUAUAAUUUUAAUUUUACAUAUAAUAUUAUUAUAUAUAUAAUUUUAAAUAUAUAUUAUUAAUCCGCUUAAUCACCCGCUUAAAAUUCCGCUUAAACGUCCGCUUAUCCGCUUAAGCGCUAGAAGGUCACCUCACCGCUUAGGACCGAUUUGCGCUUUUUACAACACUGGUUAAGUAUAAAAAGAUAUAAAUAAUAAAAUAAGUGAAAAGUGUAAGAAAAGUAAAAACUAAAAAUAAUACUAUUUUGAAAUGAACUGGAACAUGAAAAUGAAAAGGAAAAGUCUGUGUGCAUAAAUAGUGGCCGACAAGCCUCAUUACUGUGAUGCACAGCUGGCGCUAGGGCUGAGCAGAACCGAACCAGAACCGAAGAACCGAACUGUGAAAAUUCGGUCUGGUUCAGUUCCUUUUUUUCAAAAUUUCGAUUUUUUCGGUUUUUCAGGCCGGACCGAAUUAAAUUUCGGUUCGGUCCGGUCCGGUCCUUUUGAAAAAAUUUCAGUUCUGGACCGAAUAGACCGAAAUAUUUAUAUUAUUUACUUAAUAUAUUAAAUAUACUAUAUAUUUAUAUGUUAAUGACUACUCAUCUGCUGUAAGUUUAGCGGCACUCCGCAUAGCCGCUUGAACCCUAAGUCCCUAACCACUAACCACAUACGCGAUCUAUACUAUCCAAGAAUCUAUAAUCAGAGAUUCAAACUUAAAGAAUCCAACAAUCCAAGGUUAGUUAAAUCUCUUUAAUAACAAUCGGCGAUGCACAUCAAUAACAAUCAAACACAUACUAUCAUCACUUCAUGUUUGUUUUAAUUUCUUAUUGCUGAAGACACACACUAUACUUAGACCCAGUGUCCACACUCCACUGUAAUGACUUUUGAUUUGAAUUCUGUAAAAUUUGAUGGCGGCUGGUGUAGCCUGCAAUUUGUUUCUUGUAUCUGAACUUGAUGUUUGAUUUUGAAUUAUUAUGCUGCAGCUGGUGAUUCACAGACAUGCUUGUGUAUUGUGUUUUUUUUUUGACUUUUCAUAUUUUUGUUUAAAAAUUUCGGUUCUCAAGAAAAGAACUGAACCGGACCGAAUUAUUUGAGUUCGGUUCCGGUUCGGUCCAUAUGAUGAUUUCGGUUCGGUUCGGUCCGGGAAAAAAUAGUAUUUCGGUUCUCGGUUCUUUCGGUUCGGUCCGGUUUUGGACCGAACCGACCGAAUGCUCAGCCCUACUUAUUACGAAAAUAUAUAAAUAUAAAUAUUAUACAGAAUUACAAAUAAUUGCAAAGAUGCAAAAUUAGAUGUUUUCCGGCAUCGAUCAGCAACUUCACCGGACAUCAUCACUCUUUCUCCGACGACAACUACAACACGAAGGUAGCUCGUUUUUCUUGGGUUUGGUUUCUUCCAUUGUCAACUCAUUAAAAUAAAGUCAAUAUCUUUGAACAAUUCAAUCACACAAUUAUACUAGUCUUCUGUGAAUCUGUCAAAAACUUAACAAAUCAAUAUUUAUUUAUUACACGAUCUAUCUCUCGACUCUUAGCUGUCCCAAAUCUCAGUUUGUGUGUCUUGUUGUACAACCCCAUUGGUUGAUAUCGUUGUAUUUGUGUGUAGAUUGUGAAAUUAGUGUCUGUUGUAUGAGACUAGUGUUCUUGAUUUUCUUGAUUUGAACAUGGAUAAUAAUAAUAAGUAUAAUCCUCCUCCAUACCCAUAUGGUUAUGGCUACCAUGUUCCACCAAAUCAACCUUACCCACCUCCUCCGUCGCAAAAUCAGCCGUACCUACCUCCUCAAAUUUACCCUUACUCGCGGCGCCUCAAAUCAGCCUUUUUCAGUACUUCUGUAAGCCUUGCACUAUCCUACCAGUCAUACCCACCCCAACCGCAAAAUCAGCCUUACCCGCUAAUUUUACCACAAAAUCAACUUUACGUGCCAGUUCCACCGCAGUACCACCAGUAUCCGGGAGCUCCUUAUGAUCAGAAUUACAAUUACUCACACUUGUACCCUUCGCAACCAGCUCCUUAUGUGAAUCCUCCUAAUUCGGAGUAUAGUUACCAUCAGUCCCCACAUUCGACCCCGCCGCUAUCGCAUUCUAGCUUGGGAUCCUAUCACUACUAGCAUCAGCAUUCGGCUUCGAACUCAAGUCUUCAACACCAGAGUUCGCUGCAAUAUGGUUCGGAUCAUGAAUAUUAUCAACACGAGUGUGUUCCCCUCAACAAGGUCGAAGACAUGUAUGUAUUAUUUAUUCGCCUACCAGCUAGUGUGCUCGCCGUGUUAGGCAUUUAGCGUGGUCAAAAAGAUAAAAACCAAAUUGGAGAUGCUAGAACUUGUGGGGUGGUCAGGUUUGUGAAGGAGCCAUGGGCCAGAAUGGUCCCGGGUUCAGCAUAUUACACCGAUAAUAUGGUGAAAUUUACAAAAGUAAUUAUCGCCUCUACCUCUAUUUUUUUUUCCCAGAUAUUAGUAUGCACUCUUUGUUAAUAUUGACCUGACUCUGUUCUCGAAUCUUCUGAACAUCACAGACUUGGAUGGGGAUGUGAAAUGUUACCGCAUGUUGGAGAUUUGGAGCUUGUUUGGGAUUUACAGCUAGAACAAUCAAGGUACAUCAUGCAGUAUCUCUUUCUUGUUACUAUGUCUAGAGUUUUGUUGGAUAAAUAAGUCCUUGAUGCAUCUAAAUUACUUCUCAUAUAAAUCUUCUAUUGACUUGUACUACUAUAUUUUAAUACAUUUUAGCACAUUAUUACAGCUUUUGUGAAGAAUUUUGGAUUAUGUAUGCUAACUGAUUGUGAAUCUUUUGAAUAUUGAUGGAAGAAGACCGAUAUGAUGUAUACCUGCUAAAUAUAAUGUGAAAAUUUGUGCUGAUGGAUGUAGAACAAUAACUGUACAUCAUUAUUUCAUACAUUAUGUCUUUCUUGUUAGUGUUUCACAUGUUCCUUUAAUAAAUCAGAGUCUUUCAUACUUCUGAAUUGUAGUUUAAGGUUACUAUCAACGUUCUUCCUAUGUCUGUUCACACCUUAUGAUUGUGUAAUUGUGUUGCUUUACCUAGAUUGUCAGGUUUGUUUAUGUGAUCAUAUAUGCAUGAAGGAUGUGCUGAUUUUUUGACAAAUUACAGUCAUAUCAAAUUUCUGGAAAUCGUAGAGACUAGAGAAUGUGUUUUAUAUAUUUAAUACUCGAGUCUGUUUCCUCUCUAAUAGGACCAAACUCUGGGAUCAAGAAACCUGUGAUAGUAAAUUUGCUUUGCGGGUUUAGAUUAUAAGGUUGUUUCACGAAACUGAGAAAAUGACAUGAUGAAUAUAUCAUGAAUAAUAUAGCACAAUAUAGCACAUUGUGACAACUGCCUCUGAUCGUCCUGUUUGUUUGAUAAAAUUAAUUCUAUUCUAAGGAAUGCUCUACUUAUUACUUACUCCCUCCGUCUCAAUUUAUAGGUCCAUUUUGGAAAAAAAAUUUGUCCCAAAAUACUUGUCCCUCUCUUCUUUCAAUACAAAUUUAUCUACACAAAAAAAUUGUCCCAAAAUACUUGUCCCUCUCUUCUUUCAAUACAAAUUUAUCUACACAUUAAUUGUGAUUUUUUUGAAACUCAACUAUAUUCUCACUUAUUAAUGCACUAAUUAAUGGUACAUGAGAUAAGAUUCUAUCUAACCAACUUUUUUCUUAAUAUGUGUGUUUAUUCCAAAAUGGACCUAUAAAUUGAGACGGAGGGAGUAAAAUUUACUGGUUACCAAAUUCCUCCUCUGUCAUUUAUUCGCGACUUGUUGUUAUUCGUCCAUAUCUUUAUGUUUUCUUGGAAGUUGGAACUGUAUAUACUUUUGAAUUGUUGACGAGCUUAGGGCAUCUCCAAUGGGCUAUGUAACAAUCUCUUAACUUUUUAUUUAUGAAUAUAAUAUUAAUUUUCCUCCAAUUUUUCCCUCUCUUUAAGCAGGUGUUUGGCGGCCACUUUUAAACCGGGCUUCUCGGUUUAUAAGUUAGAAGCACUUAUUCGUACCGUUUGUGUAAAAAGUCAAGAAGCACUUAUAAAAAGCUAGGAAUGCUAGAUUUUGUUUCAGGGCUUCUCCUUAUUUCCCAAACCCUUUAAUCACUUAUAAGUCUUAUCUUGUUUCUAACUUCUACUCUACUUGUUUAUUUUAAGCAAGAAGCACUUAUUUUAAACUCACCCAAACGACCCCUAAAUUUACUUUUCCCUCUCAUUUAUGUUUGGUUUUGUUUUUACUGUUAGGAAAAAUAGUGAUGUUACCGAUCUUGACAUCUACACAUCUCACUGAACACCUUUGAAAGUUCCUGACAAAAAAGAAUAACCGAAAGUUUAUUCAAAUAAAUUAUUUAAUUAGUCUUUCAUACUAAAUGUCACCUUGUAUUUACAAAUAAAAUAAUUAAUAGUCCUGCAUGAAAAAAAUUUAUUUGGUCAUGAUAUUAUAAAUUAUAAUAUAUUUUAAAUAUUUGAUUAGUUUUCCUUCACAUUUUGAAUUUGAUGUAUUGGCAUGGUUGAAUUUAAAACGAGUAAAAUAUGAAUAGAAAGCUGUUAUGACAUGACUAGUAUCAGUAUAAAAUUUGUGCAGCAGUAUAGUAGUACAAGUCAGUAGUAUAGUAGUAAGAGUACUUUAGUCAUACUGUGCUGUGCAAGUCUGUUAUGUUAGUAGUUCUAUAAGUACUAGUGUAAUUUCAUUUGUUGUUAUGCUUAAUAUGAAAAUUGGCUUUUGCCUCCAACUCUCUCUCUGCUUCUCUCUCUAUAACAACUUUCUCUCUCUAGGUUUUCUUGCUUUUCUCAUCUAAACUCUGUUUCUCAUCUCCAAUUUUGUCUGAUCUCAUCUCUAUUCUCUUCUAUUACUCUAUAAUUACCUAUUUCUGCACUCAUAUAACCAGAAAACACCAAAAGAAGUCCUAAACUAGGUCAGGAACUCACCAGAUCCUGACAAAUUGGUAUCAGAGCUGAAAAUUUCGAUCAACUACUGCUUCAAUAUCGUUGUGCUAGUAAAGGCGAGCUGAGCGGUUGUGGAAGCACUGUAAUCGCAGCUAAGGAUUAAAAGUUCUGUUCUAGAUACUACAGGUACUCUGUUCUAGUUGAUUGAUCUUUGAUCUGUUCUUGUGAAGUUGUCAUGAUGAAUUCAGCAGUGAAUUGGAUGACUACAGAUAGAUUACAGUAAUUGAUAGUAGUUAUAGCUUAAUACAGCAGAAAAUCACAAAAGAAGUUGUUGUAGGAGGUUUGAUUGUUGAUUCUGGUGUUAUACUGUUGUUUAAUUACUAACAGUUAGGUGUUUGAGUAAUUGCCUGAGUGAACUACAAGUAGUUGUAGUUACUCAUAUUGGAGAAAUAAGAAAGUAUGACUGUUAGCACUAGAAGUAGUAGCAAACAAGUUGAGACUUCUGAUCAAGGCACAAUGAGAAUGAAUCAACAACAUUUUCAUGGAUUUAUGGCAGGAUCUGACCAGAAGUUUAAAAAAAUGCAAGAACAGAUUGGAUUGUUGAUGCAGCAACUGACUGGAGCUAUGAGUAUGCAAGGAGACGAGGAUGAAAAUAUUGUGGUAAUUGAAGAAGAAAUGGAUGAGGAAGCUGAUCUAACCUUGCAGUCAAAAGGUAUGUUUAGAGAUUCUGAUCAUGCUGCUAAGCUGAGGCAGAAACAGAUGAAGGCAAAGCCUUCAAGGAAGAAUGAUGAAGUGAAUAAUGGAGGAGUUGGAGUCAAUCAUGAAGGAUCAGUUGAUUCCCAUAAUUUGAAGCACCUGAAGUUAACAUUUCCAUCACUCAAAGAGGGAGGAGAUGUUGUGGAAUGGUUAAGGGACUGUGAGGAAUAUUUCUCUAUUUUUGAAGUCAAUGACUCUAGAAGACCAGCCAUGCACAUGAGUGGAACUCCAAGAUACUGGUAUAAGUCUUUCAUGGUGGGAAGGGAGAGGCCUUCCUGGCAGGAGUUUAAACAGGCAUGUUUGGCUAGGUUUGGGGAGUUAGAUACUGAAUUAGUAUUUGACAAGUUCAAGAAGCUGCAACAGAUUUCUACAGUGGGGGCUUACUUUGAUGAAUUUGAAAAAUGUAGAGGGCAGUUAUUGAGUAAGAUCCCAAAUCUCACUCAGGAGUACUUUCUGGAGAACUUCAUUAGAGCUCUACAAGCUGAUAUUAGAGGGAUGAUCAGCUUAUUGGAACCUACCACACUGGAGCAGGCACUGAAAUUAGCAAGAUAUUAUGAGCAGACUCAGCCUAAUCAAUUCAAGAAAGGAGCUCCUUACAAGACUACUUAUAGUACUCCAGCAUCCUAUAAGAUGGGAACUGACCUCACCAGUUCCAACAGUAGCAAAUCUGCCCUAACUAGUCCCAAGGUUGCUGAGACUAUCACAUCCAAACCAAGGCCAUUAACCUAUAGCCAGAGGGAGGAGAGAAGGCAAAAAGGAUUAUGCUUCUAUUGUGAUGAAAAGUUUGUGAAAGGACAUGAGUGCAAAAAACCUCAAAACUUUUUAAUGAUAGUUGAAGAAGAGGUAACUAAGGAAGGUGAAGGAGAACCUAUUUUUGAUGAAGAUCCAAAUGAGGAAAAGUAUGAUUGGCAGGAACAGAAAAUAGUAUAAGCAGCCUUGAGUAUUCAGGAAACAGUGAGUAAAGGCCCACUGCAGUGCUUGGGAAGUUGGAAGGGCAAGAACUAUAAGGUUUUGAUAGAUGGAGGAAGUUCCUUGAAUAUCAUUUCUGAGACCUUCUGCAAAGAAAUGGGCUUACAGGUUCAAGAGAACUAUCCUAUAUCCAUGAGGCUGCCCAAUGGAACUACACUCACUAGUGUUGCUGGGUGUCCAGAGCUGAAAAUGAGUAUACAAGGGAGUACAUUUACUGUUAGUCCUCAGAUAGCAGAUAUUCAGGAAUGGCAAUUGAUCCUUGGGGUAGAUUGGUUGAUACAGUUGGGAGACUUCCACUGUAAUUAUCAAACCAGGUCUUUACAAUUUAAGUGGCAAGGACAAGAUAUUACUAUGACUCCAAGCACACAAUUGUUGUUAGAAGGAUCAUGUGCUCAGAUAUCAGAAGUAGUACCUAACUGGCAGCUACAGAUUGGAGGAAGCUAUGAAGGUGAUACAGAGAUACAAGAGUUAAUUGCUGCUACUACUGUAGAUCAAUCUGGACCUCAGGAGUACUAUAUGAGACAAGGGCUAUUGAUGUAUAGAGGCAGAUGGGUUAUUGGUAGCUCAGGAAAUCUGAGGAGACAGGUUUUUGAAGAGCUGCACUGUCAAAGUGUGGGUGGUCACUCUGGUCAAAGGGCUACUAUGAAGAGGAUUCUUGAGUAUUUCUAUUGGCCUUCCAUCAGGCAGAACAUUGGUCAAUGGAUUAGAGAGUGUGGAAAAUGCCAACAAAACAAUGGGGAACAUGUCAAGAGUCCAGGCCUUCUACAGCCACUGAAAAUACCUCAGGAACCUUGGAGGGAUAUAGCUAUAGAUUUUAUUACUGGACUUAGUCUAAGGGAAAUGAAGUCAUCUGGGUGGUAAUAGAUAGGUUCAGCAGGUAUGGUCAAUUCGUAGGCCUGCCUCAUCCAAUCACUGCAAAAACAUUGGCUGCGGUAUUCCUUGAGCAGAUUUAUAAACUACAUGGUCUACCUGAAUCCAUUGUCAGUGAUAAGGACAACUUGUUUCUUAGUGAAUUUUGGCAGCAAUUGUUCAAAUUGUCUGGAACAAGGCUCAAUUUCACCACUGCCUAUCAUCCCCAAUCAGAUGGAAGCACAGAGAGGGUCAAUCAAUGCUUGGAACAAUACUUAAGGAAUAUGACUAGUGAAGCUCCCAGGAACUGGUCUACUUGGCUACGAUCUGCUGAGUGGUGGUAUAAUACCACCUUCCAUACUGCCUUGCAAUCUACUCCUUUUCAGGUAGUCUAUGGCAUGAAACCUAGACAUCUGGUUUGUUAAGAAAGGACUCACACUAACAUCCAUAGUCUAGAAGAAUUGCUGAUGGAAAGACAGCAGCACUGGAGUAGGCUUAAGGAAUUGUUAGAGGAAGCUCAAAGGAAAAUGAAAAUUUAUGCUGAUACUAAAAGAUCUGCAAGGGAGUUUCAGGUUGGGCAGUGGGUGUAUCUGAAGCUUCAGCCUUACAGGCAAACCACGGUAGAUAUUAGAAAGAAUUUAAAGCUGGCUGCUAAAUAUUUUAGUCCUUAUGAAAUAGUGGCAAAAGUGGGAACAAUGGCUUACAAGUUAGCUUUGCCCGACACAUCUAGAGUGCAUCCUGUGUUUCAUGUCUCACAGUUGAAAAAAGCUAUUGGGCAACUUAAGGUGCAGCAACAGCUUCCUUAUGUAAAUGAUCAGGGUGUCUUUGAACUGAAACCAUUGAGACAGCUGGACAGCAGGAGCAUUCUCAAGAAUCAUAAGGUGGUUUAUCAGAAACUUGUUCAAUGGAAAGGCUAUAGUGUUGAGGAAGCCACUUGGGAAGAUGAGGACUUGCUUGCAUGCUCAUUCCCUGAUUUCCUUCCUCCAUGAGGACAUGGUGUAUUUCAAGGGGAGAGGAAUGUUAUGACAUGACUAGUAUCAAUAUAAAAUUUGUGCAGCAGUAUAGUAGUACAAGUCAGUAGUAUAGUAGUAAGGGUACUUUAGUCAUACUGUGCUGUGCAAGUCUGUUAUGUUAGUAGUUCUAUAAGUACUGGUGUAAUUUCAUUUGUUGUUAUGCUUAAUAUGAAAAUUGGCUUUUGCCUCCAACUCUCUCUCUCUGCUUCUCUCUCUAUAACAUCUUUCUCUCUCUAGGUUUUCUUGCUUUUCUCAUCUCCAAUUCUGUCUGAUCUCAUCUCUAUUCUCUUCUAUUACUCUAUAAUUACCUAUUUCUGCACUCAUAUAACCAGAAAACACCAAAAGAAGUCCUAAACUAGGUCAGGAACUCACCAGAUCCUGACAAAAGCUAAGUACGGAGAGUAGCAUUGGAAUUCUUAUGUUAUUCAAUGUAUUAAUUCACUAGAAACUAUAUUUUACAUUAUUAUUUAAGCAGUGAUUUAUAACCAUUAUCGGAGUAAUUCACGUUAUCAAUGUGUUAACUGACUAGGUACCAAAUUCACUUAGGUACUGUUUGGGGUUGUUGCAGACAGCAACAACAGUUUUUUACUGAAAAGUAGAUGAAAAAUUGUUCGAUAAAUCUAAAUGCAGCUUUUCUGAACAGCAGUUUUUGGCUGAAAAGCUGCUUUUAGAAAAAGCAGGUCCUCCCAUACUUUUGGAAAAAGUUGCUUUCAGCUUUUGCAAGAGCUAUUACAAAUUUCACUAUCAAACCACACAACAAAAAAUAUUUUUUUAUAUUAUAACUUAAAAUAAGCAAAUAUCAAAAAAAUUACCAAACAGUUAUCUAAUUUCUACAACAUCACUUUUUUAACCGGCACUUUUUGUGACCACAUAGCAAUUUUUAACAGCACUCUCAAACAGACCCUUACUAUGUAAACUAGCAUUUAUGCCCGCGGUGCAGGCUUUUUUCAAAUUUAAAUUAUAUAACACGUUGAGGAAUGGCAAUAUAAUGAUUUCUUAGGGAUUGAAGCCUGGUGCUCUUGAUGCUGAGAUAAGAAAACUACUUUGUCUCGCGGUGAUAUAUUUUGCUGAGCUUUUUUGAACUUCAUGUCAUCAUUUUUCUUGAUAAUGAAUGUUAAUGGUUAUAAUACUCUUAUGAUGAGGUGCAUUUCAAUUCUAUACUUCAGUUUGUUCUCAAGACCGUAGUACUUGUCCGAUAUAAUAGUGAAUGAUUUUACACGUGUCCAGAAAUAUUCAGUUUACGCUUUGCAUGUUUUGCCAUGGCUAAAUCACUUGACCACUUUUUUUAUUGCAACUGGGUGGACUCGAAAGUUAUAUGGUCUUAUGGACUCUGGGGCAUAUCUGUAGAUGCCGAUAGGUCAUGAAAAUCGAUUGUACUGUUCUUAUUGGGUAGGAAAUUUUAUAAAUACCACGUUAGUAAUUGCAGAAAAUGUAUAUUGUGUGAUUAAGGUGUGUUCACUUGCUGUCAUAAUUGUAUAUUAAGUUUGAUUAAACUUAUUAUCCGUGACUCAGGAACUUGAUCCACCUCCAUGGCUCAAUAGAAUGCGUGAACUGGGAUACCCACCUGGAUAUCUAGGUAAUAGCUUCUUUCUUUUAUAACUCUUGAUAUUGUACUUAUAAAACAAGUUAAGAUAUCAUUUAGCAGUUGUGUUAAAACUGGCAUGGAACUGGUAUCUUGUGUUAAAACUGGCAUGGAACUGGUAUCUUUUCACGCAUAUAUCUCUCCAUUAUGGUGCCCCCAUGAAUAAAAUUUUAAGUUUGUGGGAUUUUCUUUUAUUUUAUCAGUCAUCAUCCGGUCCCUCAUUUAAAUCGUGUGGGGUUUAAACUAAGCUUCCUUCCUACCAUUUUUGGAGAAAUUCACGUUAAUCGUCUCAAGUUAUAAGGUGUUUGCGGUCCUGAUCACGUGACUGAACAAUUUCUUUAGUAAUUAAUCACAUUUGGACAUACUUUUUGCCUUCUUUUCUUGUGCAGGAUUUAAAUAAGUGAAUAACAUGAACUUGAUUGGAUAGAUCACGUGAUGGACCCGGACUUAUUGUGUUGUUUCGAGACACUUAAAUUCUCGCUUUUCUCAAAAAUUAUUACAAAAAUAAUGAAUAAAAUAAAUGAUGUUAUUUAUCUAAAAAAAUUUUCAAUUUUUUUUGAAAUAUCAUGACAAAUCUAAUUUAUUUUAGUUUGAUAAUUUAGGUGUAGGAGAUAUUAUUAUUAAUAUAGAUAAAAUCAAUCAAAUUUUAAGAAAAGAAUUUAAAAUUAAUUUUUCAAUACCUAUCAUUUUCCUUAAAUCAUAGUAAAUUCUCACCUGACUGAGAUAAAAUAUAUCCUGAAUUGUUAACAAGAAAAUGUAAUAUUUUUCAUAUUCUUUCGAGACGUGAUCAUGUGCUUGCUCCGAUUAAUCCGGUAAAGCCUCUGGAGUAUGCACGUGAACGGAUGAAUAAAUAAAUAACUGUGUCGGGAAUGAAUGAAUAAAAAAUUCUCCUCACGUUGCAUCAACUAGCCAAUAUUACAAUAGAAAACCUAAGGUUAAUUUUAGGCCCGGGUAUAAUUAUCUGAAUCGGUUUAAUCCGGUUUAUAAAUUGGAAUUUUCGAGUUUUUGUUAAAUUAAUUUGAUUUGGUUUUUGUAAUUAAAUAACCAAUCUUUUUUUGUUUGAAUUCGUUUUUCACUUUUAAAUUGAACAUUUAACACAUAUAUAUAUUAAAAAUAAUAAUUUUAUAAAUGUCAUCUAAUUAUUUUCGUUUUAAAAAUUAUUUUCCACUUUUUCAAGAUUCUUAUUUAUUAUUACUAAUUAAUAUGUGAUAAUUUUUUCUUUUAAUAAAGAAGCUAUAUUUUUCAUAACAACAAAUAAAGAUAACAGCCUGGAUGAUUUUUUUAUUGAAAGUUUAAACAAAUAUCAUUUUACUUUUUAUCUAAGCAUUUAGUUAACAGACAAUACAAGCAAUACUUAAAAAUAUUUAUUUUUUUAUUAUUAAGAUGAACCAUGUUAUGAUAUUAAACCGGAGUCGAAUUGAACCAAUUUCAGCAAAAUGCCAGGGAUUCAAAAAACUUAUAUCGAUUUUUAUAUCGUUGAGCUCGAUUUUAAAUUUAAAAACCGCCGAAACCAAACACUGCUCGGUGCUUACUGAAUUAGCAACUAAAAGAGCAAAAAAUCGAAAAUCUCCUCACAUUCCCCGUAUUACAUUUUUAUCAUCUCACCAGCCGCCAAAUAUCUCUUUCGAGAAUCAUACUAUUCAGUACAGGGAAAGAUGGGCGAGGCUAUUGUAGCUGAUUUAGCUGGCGGAUUGCUUGGCAAGCUUGUUUCACUUGCAGCCGAAGAAGUUGUCCAGGCCUGGAAUUUUCAUGAAGAUCUCGAAACACUCCACCAGCGCCUGGAAUCAGUUGGAGCUCUCCUGUACGAUGCUCAUAACAAGAAGUUAAUUAUGUCUUCUGCCAAAAACUGGUUUGACAAACUUGAAGCUGUUGCCAGUGUUGCUAAUGUAUUCAUGGAUGAACUUUCAUAUGAAGUCACUCGAAGAAAAGUGGAGAAUCAGUAUAAGGCACUACUUGACUUCUUCAUUCCUUCCAAAAAUACCUUGCUAUAUCAUCUCAAGGUGGCUCGUAAAAUCAAAUCCAUUCAAUCUUCCUUUGAUAAAAUUUUCAAAAUGGCGGUGGAUCUGGGACUACAGCCUGUAGCAUAUUUAGGCUCAACGGUGCAAGAUAGAGACAUUCGCAGCACCACUUCCUAUGAAGACAAGUCCAUAAUAGUUGGAAGAGAAAAAGAUGUAUCGUACCUAGUUCACACAGUGUGCAAAAAACAUGAAGAGGAUUUACAAGUGGUUGUUGUUGCGGGAAUGGGAGGUCAAGGAAAAACAACUCUUGCUCGUUUGGUGUUCAAUAGUAAUGAUACCAUUAAUAAUUUUCCAGAGAGGAUGUGGGUCACUGUAUCAGAUGAUUUUGAUUACAUCAAGAUUUUAAAUGAAAUGAUAGAAUCACUUACUUCAAAGAACUUGGGAUUGAAAAUUCCCCAAGGACUUACCAAUGAGCUCCAAAAGAGUCUAAAGGGGGAAAGGUUCAUCCUCAUACUAGAUGAUGUCUGGAAUGAAGAAUCGGUGAAGUGGGAUAACCUGAGAAAUUCUUUGCUUCAAAUUGGUGGUGACAAAGGAAGCUGUAUUCUCGUUACAACCCGUAAACAGGAAGUCAUUGAUGCCAUGAGAAGUUGUGUGUCUUAUUGGCUGGAAAAAUUAUCACAAGAUGAAAGUUAUGAACUGUUCAAGAAAAUAGCAUUUUCAGAUAGAGGAGUUCUAGAGACCGAGGCAUUCGCGACCUUGGGGAGAAGCAUGGUGAAGAGGUGUGGUGGCCUACCUCUGGCAAUAAAAGCAUUGGCGGGGGUGUUAUACUCGAAGAAGUGAAGAGGUGUGGUGGCCUACCUCUGGCAAUAAAAGCAUUGGCGGGGUUGUUAUACUCGAAGAAGUCUGAGCAAGAAUGGUUGGAGAUCCAAAGCAGUGAAACAUGGCAAUCAAAAAGAGUAUUGCCUUCCUUGAAGUUAUCAUAUGACAAUUUACCUUCUUUGUCAAUUAAACAAUGUUUUGCAUAUUGCUCUAUUAUGCCAAAGGAUUCAGUCAUUUAUAAGGAUGAACUGAUACAGAUAUGGAUGGCAUUAGGGUUCCUCCAGCCCCCAAGAAGUACUGCACUGAUGGAAGAUAUUGGCAGCGAUUACUUCGAAAUUCUGUUGGGGAAUUCUUUGUUACAAGACGAAAAAAAGGAUGACAUUGGGAACAUCAUCAGUUGCAAGAUGCAUGAUCUAGUGCAUGAUCUUGCACUAGAAGUAUCUGAACAUCAUGCAGUAACUGUGAAGGCAGGUAAAGAGCUGAGUCAUGAUUGCAAGGCUGUAUACGUGAGGCUUGAUAACGGGGUUUCAAAUAUCAAACCAACGAUUCUGAAGCGUGCCUUUGAGAGAGUACAAGUAUUAUAUGCUGGGGCAGAUGUCAUUCUUCAUGUGUUACCUUAUCUCACCCACCUGACUGUUCUGGUGUUAAAUGUGGAUUAUAGUUGGGAUGCCCGGAAGUUGCCAUUUUCGCUACGCAAGAUGAAAUAUCUUAAACAUCUUGAUAUUUCACGCUGCGACUUUAGAUUGCCCACUGACAUCACAGAAUUGUACAACUUGCAGACACUGAGAGUUGGAAACCUAAAUCAGCUUCCUACAAGGUUUAGCAACUUGAUCAAUCUGAGACAUUUGUGCAUUAAAAAUAUUAGCUCUUAUGGUGAAAGACACGUGCUUAAUGGGAUAAGAAGGUUGACAAGUCUGCAAACGCUUUCUUACUUUGUUGUGAGUAAAGAUCAAAACUGUCUCGUUGGACAACUGGGAGGGUUGAAACAUCUUAGGGGUGAGGUUGGACUCCAUGGCCUUGACGAGGUGAAAAAUAUUGAAGAAGCAAGAAAAGCAAAGCUUUGUGAGAAGUCCAGUAUUCUGUGUUUAGAGUUGAACUGGGGUUCCAGCGGUGAGGAUAGUGGCAAUGAAGAAGAAGUAAAAGAUAAAGAAUAUAACGACCAGGAUGUGAUGGAAGGAUUGGAACCUCACCCAAAUCUGAAAAAGUUAAAGAUUGUCGGUUUUAGAGGAAAGAAGUUUGCAUCUUGGAUUACAAUGAUGCUGAACUUGGUGAAAAUCACAUUCAGAAACUGCAACCGAUGCGAAGUACUUCCACCACUUAGUCACCUUCCCAAAUUGAGGAAGAUAUUGAUUGAUGGGAUGGCAAAUGUUAGGGUUGUGGGAGAUGAUUUUUGUAGUGGCCAAAGUGUAUUUCCUCAACUUGAGGAGUUGGAGAUUAGGGAUUGUCCAAAGUUGAGAAAGAUACUGCCUGUUUGUUUUCCGUCAUUGAAACAAGUCACCUUUGUCGAACUGCCAAAUCUAGAAGAAUGGGAAGCAGCAGUUAUAAGUACAGGGGCUAGUUCUCAAAGUGAAUUUCCUAAACUUGAGAGUUUGGAAUUUUGGAGAUGUCCAAGGUUGAGAAAGAUCCCGAAUAGUUCUUUUCCUUCCUUAAAGCAAUUGCAAAUUACUCAUUUGAAGAGUGAUAUGAUAUUGGGAAAUAUGAGCAGGAAUGUUAGCUUACUAACCUCUCUACGUCUUACAAGUAUCGGUGACGGACGAGGAUACUCAUCUUCUUUAUCUUCGUUUUCGAACAUGGAAUCCCUGAUUAACAAUUCUCUGUCUUUGACCAAAUUAGAGCUAAUUGAUUGCAAGGGAUUAAAUUGUCUGACUCUUGGUAGCUCCCUUGAAUACUUAGAGAUCCAUGAUUGCCCGCAUCUAACUAGUAUAUUUUUAGUUGAAGGGUCAGCUGCUCUUAAUUAUAUUGGGAUUGCGAAACUCCCCCCCUCUCUUCUAGAUGGGGGAUUUCCCCAAAUUCAUAGUUGCAGGCUUGAAUAUCUGAGAUUAGGUCCCUUCUCAGAUGAUUGGGAUUAUAUGCCAUGGCCAAUAUCAUCUUCUUCUUCUUCUAACCUAAUUAAGCUAGACCUGUAUGGGUGGGAAAAGGUUAAGUCAUUAGUGCCCUUUGAGCAACCCCUGUUCACCGGCUACCCUGCCUUGACUACCAUGAGUUUAUAUAAUUUCGAAGGAAUGAAAGCUCUUCCGGAUUCAAUAGCAAAACUCCCAUCUAUCAAGGAAUUAAGAAUCUGGGAUUGUCAUAAUUUGGAGAGUUUGCCCACGUUUGAAGAAUCACAUACCCUUCAAACACUGAGUAUAUGUGAGUGUCCUGUUCUGAAACAAAGAUGCAGGAAGGAUCAAGGGCCAGAAUGGUUCAAAAUUCAAUACGUUCCAAAUGUAAAAUGGUAAGCUUUGCAUGUCAAAUUUAUCUCUUCUCCCUCUCAGUUAAUCUGUUUGUACUAUUUAAUUGAUAUAUCUGAUUUUGUUAAAUCAGGGAUCAUACAAGGAGUCAGGGAAGUUUUUUAACUUUUUAGCUUGGUGAUUGUCUCUACUCCAUCUUCCCUUCCUUGACUGAUUUGUAUGAGUAAAUUCAAAGAAGAGAAAGCUCUCCCGAGUUCAAUAGCAGACCUUCUAUCGCUCAAGCAGUUACUUAUCUGAAAUUCUGAGAAUUUGGAGAGUUUGCCCAUGUUUGAGAACAACGGUAAUUUUCCAAAUCUGAAAGAAUGAUACACGGAAGAGAGAUGGUCCAAGAUUCAACAUAUUCCAGAUGUAACUUAUGUAAAUUGGCAUAUCUGAAUGAUCACCUCACCCUCUGUUUGUCACUAUUUAAUGAUAUAUUUUAAUUUGUUGAAUCAGGAUUUAGAUAUUGCAGUAUCUCCAUCUUGUCAUUAUUUUCCAUGUUCAUUUUCCAAAAAUUAUACUCCUAAAUCAGAUAAGAUAUAGCGCAUCUUGGUGAGUUGCUUGUUGUAAUAGUAACUGAAAUAGUGAUUAUGAAUGUUACUUUUCAGUAUCAGAAUAGUGCAUCAUGGAUAAUAUUUUAUAUGAUUUCUUUUUAUACAUCAAUAUUUCUAUGUUUUUUUUUUUGGUUCAAUGAUCUAAUAACUGCAUGGUGCAGCUCUUCAAGGUGUUUUGGGACUGAGAUAAAUGAUGCAGAAGCCAAGCCUCUUCUCUUGUGUUCGUCCAAUGAAAUAUGAAUAAUCAAGUGCAGUAAUGUCAUUAUAAUUGUCUACUCCUUUGUCAAGAAUGCCCUGUAGGAAUAAAAAACAGAGCUCACUGAGCUCAGUAAGAGAAUCCAAGUGUUGGCAUACAAUGAGAUCGGGUAAUUAGGGCUAAUUCAUUGUUGUACUAUACCGAAAGUUUCAAUUGAGUAACUAGACUAAAAAAAGUUACAAUUGUAUCAUAAAAUUGCAGUAACUUUCAAUAACUCAAAAUUACUUGCACUAUCGUUAAAAUGCGUUGACUAUUAACAAAGAUCCAUUCAACAAUGUUACAUUAAAUCUAGUUCAUAUAUCAUAACAAUAAAUCUAUAAAUAGAUAGUUUCUCCUCCCAUUUUUCAUGGCUUAUUACUACCACUAUCCUUCAUCACCGUUUUAAUUACAUAUCAUGCUAUUGAUUUCAUUAAAUCUGCAUCCACGUGCAAAGUAACACCGGAUAGUACAGCAGCAGUUAAUAACAAGUUUCAACUGCCGGGUAACAUAAGCUACUACUGGAUACUGCAUAUAUUCUCAUACACAGCACUGAUAUGUACUUCCUAUCUCACAAAUUCUCCUUUUCAAUUUGAAUUUAAAUUCUGGAAAAAGGUUUUCUCUCUUCAUUCAUACAAGCAGAUACAUAUAUUCUUUAGUCUUCCCUCUCCCAAUCGAUGGAUGAGUUAGUUUACACAGCGUCUGUAUAUAACUAUUUUGUCCUGCAUGAUUGUUCUAUGAAUUAGUUUAAUUUUAACAAUUUCUCUUUUUCUGAAUUAGUUGUAGCAGUUCGAAGAGGGUUAUCCAGUAUCUGCUGUUGCUGGUUCUACAAACAAACAUGGAAAGGGUGAUGGAGUUCUUUGAACCUGGUAUGUUCUUGAUCGACCUCUGCUUCUUCUUUUUUCCGUACUCUUUGCCGUCUUCCAACUGUUGUUAUAAUUUCAAUGUGCAUUCUUCUUUUAUCGUGCUUAGGAAAAUCGCCUAGGACGCUUUUCAGUGAUGUUCCAAACUUAACAAACUAUUCGAGUUACAGUUCUUUGUCGCCUAGGACCUUCAUAUUUGUUAUGGAUAUUGUUCUUGGGUAAAUUUAUGGUUACGGAGGAUUUUGUAUCACGCUUUUUAAGUGUUUGACAAAAUUCUUGGGUAACAUCUAAAAUAAAAGCUAUUAUUUAUUUAUAAAUAAUUUUCACUUAUAAACAAUAAAUGCUUCUUUAAGUUAAGCCUCGAGUUAUAGAUUCGGGAAAUGAUGAUCUUGGAAAAGAAUUUUAGCCUAUGUAGUUGAGAACAAAGUUCAUGUGUUAGUUUAAAAAAAUAGUAUUUGCUUAUGUUGUAUAAAAAUGUACGGUACAUAUCACCUUAAUGAUCUUAUAAUAUUUUUCUAAAAAAUAUAGAUAUAAUAUAAAAUAUUAUUUUAUUAUAUUAACUUUACUUUAUUUGACUAAAAUCAUCAUAUAAAGUAAAACUCCCAAAAUCUUCUCACUUAUAACAUGAAUUUUGAUAACCAUUAGAGGCCGUUUGGAAACAUGGAUUUAAUUUCAAAUGAUGAAUUUCAAAUUAUAGGAUUUGAAUUGUCAUUUUAAAUUCUUAAAUUUAUACUAAUAUUUGAAUGUUUGGAUUUCAAAUGAACUCAACACUAAGCAGACCCCAGAAAAACUCCAUAGAGAUACUCAUACCUCCAAGUACUACAUAUAGAUAUACAUAAUUUCAAUUUUAAGACCUGUUUGUUUGCUUAUAGUCCUAUAUGCAAUCUGUAUUAAUUUUGUUAAGUCAAACAAUUAGUCUCCACCGGCAAGCAUUCUAAGAAAGACAAGGAAGUUGUAAAACAUCUAUAUCAGCACACAAAAUGUGGUAACCUGUCACAGCAAAUAACUCAAAAAAAAGGAUUACAAAAAUGCCAGAUGUGGAAAUGGAGAAACUCAACAUGAACGGGAGAGUUUUAUCAGGUUUUUGAAAAACUUGUAUAUAUAUGAUGUUUACUAAAUUUUCUGCUAAUCUAUUUCAUGAAAUUUAUGAGACUUGGCAGUAACAAGUAACAACUGUAUUAUGACUGGGAAGAAUGACAUACACAUCAAAAAGCAUAAUCUGACAAUAAUGUGCGUUCCUUCCAUUCAUCCCAUACAGACACGAAGUUGCAUUAUUUACCAGGCCAAUACUGUGCUUGAUGGAUAUAGAAUAAUAACUGGAUCAUUACUUUAAACAUUAUCUCUUUCUUGUUACUGAUUAACAUGUUCGUUUAAUAAAUCAUAGUCUUUCAUAUUUUUGAAUUGCGGUUGAAGUUUACUAUCAAUGUUCUUCCUAUGUAUGUUCACAGUUUACGAUUGUGUUGUUUUACCUAGAGUGUGAGAUUUCUUAAUGUGAUCAUAUAUGCGUGAAGAUAUUCUUCUUUUUUAAUAUACUGAUAAAUUACAGUCACAUCAAAUAUCUGGAAAUCGCAGAGAGUAGAGAGUUUGUUUUAUAUAUUUAAUCCUCGAGUCUGUUUUUUCUGUAAUAGGACCAAACUCUGGGAUCGACAAACGUAUUGGGGUUUCAGAUUAUAAGAUUGUUUCAAGAAACUGAGAAAAUGACAUAAUGAAUAUAUCAUAAAUAACAUAGCACAUUGUAGCGACCGCUUGUGAUCGUCCUAUUUGUUUGAUGAAAAUAAUUCAUUUCUAGAGAAUGGUGUACUUGUUGCGUAAAAAUUACUGGGUUACUAAAUUCCCGCUUUUCUGUCAUUUUUACACGACAUCUUUUUAUUCAUUCAUAUCUUUGUGUUUUCAAGUUCAGUGACCAAAUAAUCUCGUGGUGCAACUCUUGGAAGUUGGAACUAUAGGAUAAGCGAUGCAGAAGUCAUGCUUACGGAUAGCCGGUAUGUUCUAAUAGAAAUGCAUAUACUUUUGAACUGUUCAUGGAGCAUACCAAGAGAAGUAGUUAGCAUGUAUUCACUAUUUAAUUUGGCAUUUUCUCUUAAUUUAUUGAAUCCAUGUGCUGGUCUCAGUUAUAACGUGUUUGCCAGUCCUGAUCAUAUGUUUGCAGUUUGCUCCAACCAAUCCAUUAAUUAAUCCGGCAAAGUCUCUGGAGUAAACACAUGAAUGAAUAGAUAUAUAAAUAAAGUCAAACAAAUUAAUCAAAAUUCACAUAGCAUCAACUAGCCAAUAUUAAAAUGAAAAAAAAUAAGGGUUCAUUCAGCAACUAAUCUAUAGUACCACUUGAUUCAGAAACUGUUAUAGCCCAUAUUACAUUUUUAUCAUCUCACCAAAUAUAUCUCAAGAAUUAUACCAGUCAAUACAAGAAAAGAUGGGCGAGGCUAUUGUUGCUGAUUUGGCUGGCGGAUUGCUCGGCAAGAUUGUUUCACUUGCAGCCGAAGAAGUUGUCCAGGCCUGGAAUUUUCAUGAAGAUCUCGACACACUCCACCAGCGCCUGGAAUUUAUUGAUUUCUUGCGAGUGAGGUGUCGAUAUAUAUGAAUCGAGGGAUUUUGAUUCCGAUAAUUGGUUAGGGAUUUGAUCGAAAAAUUGAAUAAAAAUUAGGAUUUCAUGUAAAUGACUGAGGGAGAGAACCCAAGAUUGGCUCUGCAAAGAAAAUCUAGAUAGGAUGGGAUAUGGAUAAGACAAUUAUUAGGUUGACUGGUUGAGUGGUGGAAAACAAAGAAUGAUCAGCCAAUAUUAAAAUGCAAAACAAAGGUUGAUGUAGCAAUUUGCCACUUGAUUUAGAAACUGUUAUAGCCCAAAUUACAUUUUUAUCAUCUCACCAAAUAUAUCUCAAGAAUUAUACCAGUGAUCAAUACAAGAAAAGAUGGGCGAGGCUAUUGUUGCUGAUUUGGCUAGCGGAUUGCUGGGCAAGCUUGUUUCACUAGCAGCAGAGGAAGUUGUCCAGGCCUGGAAUUUUCAUGAAGAUCUCGACACACUCCACCAGCGCAUGGAAUCAGUCGGGGCUCUCUUGUACGAUGCUCAUACCAAGAAUUUAAUCAUGUCUACUGCCAAAAUCUGGUUUGACAAACUUGAAGCUGUUGCGAAUGUUGCUAAUGUUUUUAUGGAUGAACUUGCAUAUGAAGUCACUCGAAGAAAAGUGGAGAAUGGCCAUAAGUCAUCAGACUUCUUCAUUCCUUCCAAAAAUACUUUACUAUAUCGUCUCAAGGUGGCUCGUAAAAUCAAGUCCAUUCAAGCUUCCUUUGAUAAAAUUUUCAAAAUGGCAGUAGAUCUGGGACUACAGCCUGUGGCUUAUUUAGGGUCAACGGUGCAAGAUAGAGACAUCCGCAGCACCCCUUCCUCUGAAGACAAGUCAAUAAUAGUUGGAAGAGAUAAAGAUGUAUCGUACCUAGUUCAAACAGUGUGCAAAACACAUGAAGAGGAUUUACAAGUCCUUGUUGUAGCGGGAAUGGGAGGUCAAGGCAAGACAACUCUUGCUCGUAUGGUGUUCAACAGUAAUGAUACCAUUCAUAAUUUCCCAGAGAGGAUGUGGGUCACUGUAUCAGAUGAUUUUUAUUACAUCAAGAUUUUAAAUGAAAUGAUAGAAUCACUUACCUCAACGAACUUGGGAUUGAAAAAUCCCCAAGGACUGACCAAUGAGCUUCAAAAAAGUCUAAAGGGGAAAAGGUUCCUACUCGUACUAGAUGAUGUCUGGAAUGAAGAAUCGGUGAAGUGGGAUAACCUGAGAAAUUCUUUGCUUGAAAUUGGUGGUGACAAAGGAAGCUGUAUUCUGGUUACCACCCGUAAACAGGAAGUCAUUGAUGCCAUGAGAACUUCUGUAUUUUAUUGGCUGGGAAAAUUGUCAGAGGAUGAAAGUUAUGAACUGUUCAAGAAAAUAGCAUAUUCAGAUGGAGGAGUUUUAGAGACCGAGGCAUUGGCGACCUUGGGGAGAAGCAUGGUGAAAAGGUGUGGUGGCCUACCUCUGGCAAUAAAAGCAUUGGCGGGGUUGUUAUACUCGAAGAGGUCUGAGCAAGAAUGGUUGGAGAUCCAAAGCAGUGAAACAUGGCAAUCAAAAAGUGUAUUGCCUUCCUUGAAAUUAUCAUAUGAUAAUUUACCUUCUUUGUCAUUGAAACAAUGUUUUGCAUAUUGCUCUAUUAUGCCAAAGGAUUCAGUCAUUUAUAAGAAUGAACUGAUACAGAUAUGGAUGGCAUUAGGGUUCCUCCAGCCC